AUGCUUAGCUGGCAGAAUGGAUGGAGUGCUAGUUUAAGGGAGUUUGAAAUGCUCUGUUAUUAAUAGACACUCUAGCUGCAGUAAUAUGAAUCUAUAGCUCUUUCAGGAAGUCUUGUUUGGUGUUAAGUAAACAGGUAAGUGAAUAGAAGUAUGCUAGCUCCACCCUCCAUUGUUGUUCCUGUCAUCAGUUAUGAGGACAAAUGUCUAAAGGCAGGAGCUUCCUAUGCAUUUUAGAACCCUGAUUUUCCAGGGCUUCUAAAAUGUACAUGGAAUCUCCAUGAGUACAAGAGGCUCAACUUUCAGUAGCUCAUCCUCUAACAGCUAACUCAUGGAGGCCAACUGGAGCAGUGAAAGAGGGAAAGAACUGUCAUACUCCUCACCACGGUCUCACAUGUUUACUUAACAUGGAAUUGGUAUGCUGGAAGAGGGCUUUUAGGAAUAGCACAUUAGCAGAAAAAUAACAGAAUAGCAUCAAUCAAUAAACACUGUCAUCAUUGUUUAAAAUAGUAUUUUGAAAUAGGGUGUGAGUUAUUUGUGUAUAAAUAAUUAUACCAUUAGCAGUUUUUGUGGUAGUGGAUUACUCACUCCAUAAAUUCCAGCUGUAGACCAGGCUACACAGUGUGUGUUUAUUCAAUAUUUCCUCAGCAAAUAAUUUCAUAUAGAUAAGAUAUUGGUGUUCAAGCCCUAAAUGAAAAACAGCCAUUAUUCAGUGUCAUAUAUGUCAAUAUAAUAAAUGUCCAUCGUGAUUCUUAUGAAGAGAAAAAAAUGAAAUAAGUCAAAAGAAGUGUGAGAUUUAUUUUUAUAUUAGAGCCUGUUGUAAAUAAUAAUAAUAGUUUAACAUCUGAUGUCCAUAGUAGCUGCUUCUGUAAAUUGAGGCUAGAAAUGAAAUUCAGUGAUAGAUUUGAAUGCUACUGGUGUGUUGGAGAUGCCAUGUUGUCAGAGGUUUGAAGAUGUCUGAAGCUCUGCUGGAUGAGUGGCAGUAGGGAGGAGGGGAGGGAAGAACAAUUUCUCCAUUCCCCCUUUCUUUAAUGUCUCCCAUACACCUCAUUUUUGUUUCUACUGAUGUAAGAACUCUGGCAUCAGUAAAGUAAGGGCUGUGGAGGUUUAUGCAGUGGCUGGGAAGUGCUUGAUGAAAUCACAACUUCUUCCUGAGGCUGAACAUCUUACUUUCUCCAUCUAUCCAUCCAUUCAUCCAUCCAGAAAGAUAAAUCUAAAAGUUAUUUGAGCUGUGGAACAUGGCCCCAGAGACCACAGGAUUGCAGCCAUAAUAUUUUCAUGGUUAUUAUAGAAACUCCUCCCCAUGUUAUUUUAUCAGGCAUCCCUGGAACUAGUUCCUCAGAUUCUGGUGCUGCAACUCGGAGAUGAUUCAGUACAGAUGACUUAGUUGUCACUUAGUCAUCAGGUAUGGGAUGACUUAGGUAAUGCCUUAGCAUGGUCCCCUGAGUUGCUUACCCUGUGAUCUGAGAUGCUGGAGAAGAGGGUGUGGUAAGGGACCACCAUUUCAAUAGGACUGAGAGAGCUACAAAGAGAAUUAGGAGGGCUGUUAAGUAAAGGCUUCUGAAAAUUGGAGGUGAUUAUAGACUUCCGGGUUGGCGCCUCUGGCAAUGGCGGAUUUCCUCCGAUCGGGAGGAAUCCGCUCGGUGGAAAACAGGGUCUGAACCGCCACGGCAAGGCGGAGACCCAUCAAAAACCGCAGGCGGGAGAAGCCUGUGGACGUGGGAUUCGGCUGGCACCUCUGCGCCCCCCCUACUCGCGGGGAAACCUGGGUUUGGGGAUCCAGAGUGACGUGGGUUGUGUGGUGCGGUGCUUUGAAUCGACUGCUUCUUUCACGGAGUGAAGCCGUAUUGCUGUUGCCGGAGAGCACCGACUUUUUCCUGUGAACAAUUGGAUUUUAAAGAACUGCCCGUGAGUAGAACGGAAAAUUGGAUUAAGAAACUUUUUAAUUUGGCACUGAAGCGGGAAGGUCUAAACAGGAAGUCCGCCUUCCGCUUUGUAGAUAGAUUGAAGCAAAGACACGGCAAGCUAGAGUUUAGAAAGUCGUCUGUAAAGGAUCAAAUUUUCAUCAUUUAAAAUUACUGAACCCCCCUUGGAAGCAGGAGAAGAGGGGGGAACCUUUUUUUUAGACUGUUUAAACCUGCAGAAGAGAGAGUAAAGAAAGGUAAUUUUCCACUGUCUUGAACCUGGGAGCGGGGUGUCAGGACAGACGUUUUGGGGAAGUUCAUUGACUAUGGACAAAUGUUUUUGACAGAUAGUUAAAAGAAGAGAAACAUAUUGAUUCCAUUGUUCCCCUUCGCAUUUAAAAGGAACAAAAUAUUGACAAAAUAUCCGAGAAAGGAAAACUUUGUUGCUAGAUCUGCUUUUUUUUAAAAAAAAAAAAGAUGGAUACAAAUAGAAAUUGAUUCCCCUAGAGGGAGCUUGUGAAACUGUUAUUCGAACUGGGGAGCUUUGCAGCUGUAAUAGAUUAAGAUCGUGGGACCAGACUUCGACCUUGAACAAGAAUGUGCUCAGAGGCUCUGGUGCUUGCCUUUUGCAAGACAAGUGCUUUAUUGGAACAGUUACAUGAGAAGAUGGAUUUGAUGACUGUUGCGAUCGGAAAUUUUGGACAGGCAGUGGGUACCUAUAUAGAACCCACUCAGGAAUUAAUCCAGGAAUGUGCUUUGACAGAUCAGAUGAGGGAGGAGGUUGUUGCUGGACCUCGGGUGGCAGAGAUGGAGGGAGUUGUGGCCCAGCAGGAACAUGAGUUGUUGGAUUUGACGAACGAACCUGGAAAAAGUCAGAUUUGGAGAGAUGGAGUCCAGUUUGGCUUGGAGAUGGGGGACUGGAUAUACCCCCCUAUGCAGGGAUGUUUUGACCUUUCAAGUCUGGUUUUGGGCCGGGGGGAGCUCGGAGUUGUGGGGGCCUUUAACUUUGGAGGGACCUUGAAACAUGCCUUUAAAUAUCACAUGGAUUUCAGUGUUGACUAUGGAAAAGGGGCUGACUUGUCGAGAAGGGACAAAAAUAUUGUUAAGCUGGAGUCUCCCCGAGUGAAAGGAGCAGAAGACAAAGUAAAGUACAGGUAUAAACAUGAAGAAGACCUGCGGAAGGGACAUGGAAGAGACUUAAGAGCCUCGGAUAUAAGGUCACCAGGUUGAUGGACUAGAUGGAUGGGAUAGAAAGGACUGACAACACCCGAGACCAGGAAGAAGAGACGAUGGAUGAAGAUUGGAAGAAAAUUUUAAAAAUUUAUUUAGAAAAGUAUCGUAAAAUUAAUGAGUAUUAGGAAAAUGUUGGAAUGAAAUUAUUUAGCUUUAGCAGAAAUGUUAAAAAGAAUUAUGUAAGAAUAUGUUAUGGUUAAGAGAAUUUGGUAUAAAUAAGAUUUAAGUUUUAAGUUUUAGGUUUUUUUAUGGUAAGAUAAGGUUAAAAUAGAUUAAGGUAAUUUAAUGACAGAAUAUUGUGAAAGAUGGAAAGGAUUUGCUGAGAUAAUUAACAACUAGAAUACAAAAAAAGGGAGGUGUGAGGAGGUCAAUGAAAUAAGUUAAUGACAGUUAAGGAUCUGGGAAUAUUGGAUUUGUUUUUAAAUUUUUUGUUUAUUUUUGCUUUUUGAUUUUGAUGCAUUGUGUGUUUUGUUUUUUCUUUUUGACUUUGGUUUUUAUUGAUUUGUAUUGUUUAAUUGUUACUUUUAUCUACUUUUUUCUUUCUUUUUCUCUUUCUUUUGUUUUUUCCUUCUUUCUUUGUAACUUUAAAAUUCUCAAUAAAUAUCAUUUUAAAAAAAAAAGAAAAUUGGAGGUGAUUAUAUCUCACAUGCCACCAUUAUAGAUAAUGUUGUUGUUGUUGUUGGUAUCCCUCUGUCUCGGUAGAUAAUGGAGGAAUGUGCUUUUGGGUGGUGAAGUCAAACUGUUGGAAGGUUACAGCACCUGCUGUGGCUGUAGAGACAUGUGCCUUUAUAGAGACAAUGAUGUGCAUCUCUCCAUGGAGGAGUGGGACACUUUUAUUAAGGAACUGUGGGAAGACCUGUUCAACCUAAUGAUCUGCAGAUUCACUGAGCUUAAGCUGGCUUCUUCUGUAGUAGGUGGUGUGGGCAGAGGAGUAAAGAGGCUGCCCAGAUGAGCCCCCUGAGGCACCUACAUGGUGAAGAAACACUGCCAAACCUACCUCACAUUGCCAAGCAGUUAAAAGGGGUUGAACCUUUUGACCCUGGAUAAGUCUUCCUUCCUGACAGCAGAGGAUGGUUGGAGCAAACAGAUGUUCUCUGUUUGAGCAGGAGAAGAAGGGCAUGGACCAGUUAACUUAAUGCUCCAGUGCUCAGAGCCAGGGUGGUGUCACUCCCAGGAGAAUCUGGAGAAAAGCCCCCAUCAGCCUCCUCCAGCUAGGCUGCUCACUUAGAUGGAAUUAAUCAGUCCCAUUUUCUUCAGUCCUUCAUCACAGUAGUUAAAGAGUUGUGACUCUUUACCCCAGAUCUGGCCCCAUGUCUUCCUUUCCUAGGGUGGGGGGUAGUUCAAUUUCCCAAGGUUUCUGGAAGCCUUCUUUGGAAUGAUAUUUUUUGGGGGAAGAGGAUACCAGAGUACUACUACCAGUGAGCUCUGCUUGGUUCAGUUUUAUCUGUGCCUAGCUUUAUCAGGAAAGUUUCAUGGGGAGGAUGGAAUUAAAGCAUCUCAGAAUUCUGUCUACACAUGCAUGGCUUUUAAGACUGUGUUUGGACUGCUGGAACGGAUUGAGGGCCAAACAUGUUGUUUACUUUUUUAAAAAAGUAAGUGCUGUUGCAAAUGGUAUUUUUAAAAAUACAUAAAUAAAUCCUGUUUUCAGUUGUGAGCCUUUCUGUUAAAAGAUUUGUCAGCUGCAAGAAAUAUCCUAACAAACACAUCACAAAAAUAACUGAUUCUAAUAACCAUUUCUACAGCUCAGUCUUUAAUAAAUCUGUUAGCAGCAAAGGCAGAAACAGUAGCAUCACAUCACUAGAAUUGGCAUCAUAUGUUUCGCAGGUUAGGUGAGGUGCUACUCGCUCUGAAUCAAAGAGGCAGCAGGAAACCUUGCUGAUUAAUUUUACGCCAUGUACUACUGUGUGGCUCCUUUGGGUAGUCAUGCUUGGCAGUCCAAGUUUGAAGCACUUGGUAGUCAAGUCUGAAGCAGCAUAUUCUAUUUAUGUUGAUUUCAGUACUAAUGACUUUGAAGAGAGAAGUUCAAAAGAUGCUCACUUCUGUGGAAUAAUCUAGCACCAGCUUGAUUCAGAUCAGACCUAUGAAAAGUCAAAUGCCAAACUGGGACAGGGUGGGAGGAAAUCUUCUGUGCCACUAAUUGCAAUGCCAGUCCUCAUUAGCACUUUGUCACUGCUGAUUGCUGUGCUGCUCUUUACAAGUAUUGUGACCGCAAAGGGCCUUAUCAGCUUGCUUUCCUUGACUGCACAGGAUUUGCUCUGAGUCCCAGUGAUGUACAGCAGCACAAUGUUGAGUGAAUAGCGCAGGAAUAAUAGCAACUGGGAGAUCUAACAGAGGCCUCACUUCUGUUUUUAUAGAUAAAACAAAAAAUGGUACGAUUAAUGUAUGUCUCCCCCACCACCUUGCUUCCUUUUGAGCAUUUUAAGAAAUUGUUCUCCAAACUUAGUGAGGCUUUUGAUUGGCACUCAAGUUCUUUGCAGGUUUGUUUGCACUGUAAUUAUGCUCUUGAACACUGACAUAUUAGAAAGAAAUUCAGUGCAUGCUAACGCCUUUCAGGCAUUAUUUGCAAGGGAUGUAACAAGGCUGUGAGAUCCAUUCAAAUAAAAAUCAGUGCUGUUUUUGUUCCACUGAAAAUCGCUUUUCACCAAAUACUACAUUAUUCAUCUUGUUCACUAUUUAGCAUAACUUACAUAGCUAUUUGUUUAACUCAUUUCAGUGUAAAUGAAAUGUUGAAACCAUUAUUUGUGGAAUCAAAAACCACAACAAUGAUUGUAUUUGCUUGGCUGAGUUCUGUUCCUGACCAUAGAUGAACAUGUGAACUGCAGCAAUAUAUUCUUCCUUUUCAGUUUGCACCAGAAUUGUCUGGCAUCCCUAUUUACUGCAGUACUUGCAAAGGGGUCUGUAUCCUCAGUGGUGCCGCACAUGCCAGCAAUGUUACCAAGCUGAUUCAUGCUCUGCUGGGUCUGAAGGGGGCUGUCUUCAUUCCAUAAAUGGUUUGCAACAUGGGAAUGGUAAGUCUGGUUCAAUCCAAUCUUGGGGACUCUUUUUACAGUGAAUAUGCCCCUGUCAGAUUCAGCCAAUCAUAUAUCAACUUCCCCAUAGAAUUGAUUCCCUCCCCGUGCAACUUAUCUGAUAAAGCUUAGAAAGACUGAGCAAAGGAGAGUUUCCACCAUGUUCACAGAAAAUUUCUCACUGUGCAAUCUCUAUGGUCCCAGUGCAUGGGCAGAAGUCACAUGAACCCACCACCUCUGAAGCUAAGCAGUGCCUGGUCAGUGCCUUGAUGGAUGACCACCUGGAAACCACACAUUUGCUGUAUAGCAGCUGAUGUUGAGAUUGAGAGAUCACAGUGAAACUUGCAAUGAACAGUUACAAUUCUUCAUUUAAAAUCUGAACACCUGCUGAUGUUAAAGAUUCCCUUACAACUUUUGUGGGGGAUUGAAUUUGUCCAUGCUUGUAUUGUGAUUUGUUAAAAGAUCACUUGGAUAUUAUGUCAGCUGACCAACUGGCCAGCAACAUAUGCUUUAUGAAUAACUCUCCCCAACAGUAGAUUGUGAUUUGCUGAGUAUUCCACCUUUACACUUUUAUCAUUAGCCAAACACAAUUUGACUUCCUUCCUCAGCAUCAGAGAGUCAUUGCUUCUUUGGGUGUGUUCACAGACAGAGAUCUCCAACACCUUAAUCUGAAGCAGAGGAGUUUUGGGGGUUUAUGUAUUUGUCGUUGUUUUUACAAACAGUUAUUAAUGUAAAAUGAAAAGCCAAUGGCAUAUGUUUCUCAGGCAGUUGACAUCUGACAUUGUUCCACUUGAACAAAGAUUUGUGGUUUAUUUGCCCCCAAGCUGCUUCUACAUUUUAUGAACUGUACUGCAGUCUUUUAAUAGUUUUGAUUUGAUUCAUUUGUUCUACUGCAUUUCAAUAAAGUAGAAUGUGUUCAUACAUUUUUUAUGUAGUGUGUUAAUAGCUAUCUGCACAUACCGCUUCGUAAGCUAGUUAUUUAGAAGCCUUCAUGGAACUCAGGAUGAAGGCAGAUGGAAAAGAAAGAGCUCACUGCAGGUCCUUCCCUGUUCUGGGAAUAUAUGGACAAAAUAUAUAGACUCAACAACUAACUGAACACUGUCUGAAACCAUCAGCCAUGUGCAUCUUGCUUGCUACUACCACCUCUUCCCAGACGAUGAUGCCCAAAAUAGUGCUCAAACAGCUGAUUGUCCAAAUGUUAGAAGCUGCACCACUUUUGUCUGAAGCUCCCAGCUAGAGGGAACUUAAUCUUCUCCGGCUGGUGAAGGAUGUUAAGGUAGGAAGAGGACUAGGAAGAGAAAGAGUGAAUGGGAAGGCAGGGAGGCACAUGGUGGAUUGCUUUAGACUGGCCUGUAAGAAGGUUUUUCUGUUCAGUAGUAAAAUGAACCUCACGGUAUAGCUGAAGAAUAUGAAUAUUCACACACAUUUAGGCAGGAAUAAUCAAAUGCAGACAUAUAGGAUGGGUGACACCUGGCUUGGCAGCAGUACACAUGAAAAAGAUCUAGGGGUCUUAGCAGACCACAAGGUUAUCACGAUUCAACAGGGUGGUGCAGUGGGAAAAAGCUAAUGCAAUUCUAGGCUGCAUCAUUAGACAUAUAGUGUCUAGAAUAAAUGUAUCACUCUAGAUCAAUAGUAUCACUCUAUUUUGCCUUGGUUAGAUCCUGUCUGGAGUACUGUGUCCAGCUCUGGAUACCACAGUUUGAGAAGGGUAAUGACAAGCUAGAAUGUCUGUCAGAGAUUAUUUGGCUUUGACUACUACAUUGCAGUCCCAUGGACUGCAAGAAGAUCAAACACAUCCAUUCUUAAGGAAAUCAGCCCUGAGUGCUCACUGGAAGGACAGAUUGUGAAGCUGAGGCUCCAAUACUUUGGCCACCUCAUGAGAAGAGAAGACUCCCUGGAAAAGACCCUGAUGCUGGGAAAGAUGGAGGGCACAAGGAGAAGGGGACGACAGAGGACGAGAUGGUUGGACAGUGUUCUCGAAGCUACAAACAUGAGUCUGACCAAACUGCAGGAGGCAGUGGAAGACAGGAGUGCCUGGCGUGCUCUGGUCCAUGGGGUCACGAAGAGUCGGACACGACUAAAUGACUAAACAACAACAACAACAACAACAACAACUACAUUGCAAGGCGUUGGAGUAGAUGACCUUUGGGGUCCCUUCGAACUCUACAAUUUUAUUAUUCUGUUUCCAGGUGCAUAUGGCUUAGCUGGUUGAUGCUGCUUUAUCCCUUUGGCUUAUUUGUUUGCUUUUUGCUGAGGCGUUCUCUAUGCUUUUAUUGUCCUGAUUUUAAAAAACUUUAUUUAUGACUGUUUUUUUGUACUUUGCAUGAUGUAAGCCACUUUGGGCACUUUAGAAAUAAAGCAGAAUGAUGGAAUGGGAAUAUUUUAGUAAAUAAUUAAAUAAUAAGAAUGCUCCUUUCGCAAGGGGAAUUAUGUAAUUCUGAAACUGAUACAAUAUUGACCUUGCCAAGGGCAUUUCCUAACCAACCUCAAGAUGGCACAUGGGUAAUGAAAGUUGUACAAGAUUUGCCAUACAUAAGCAUUGCUGACAGGCCCCUUUAUGACUUAAUAGACAAAAACACCAUCACCUCUGGGUCUACCACAAUUGACCUGGUAACUUCAGCUAUGAAGUGAUAUUGACAAACAGCUUUUUAACUCCUGAUUCAAACAUUCUUACACCAGAGAAGCAGAUUCUAUACAUUCAAAGCUGCUAUCUUCAUUACUGUACUACAAACAUUUUUCAGAAAUAUCCCUGGUUUUUAAACAUUGCUUUCAGUGUCUGAAGACUAAAUAAUUAAAAUGGUCCUCAAUACUGGGGCUAAUCUGAAAAGGAGCUUUGUGUCAAAAAGGAGGAUCAUUGUAUCAUGAUUGUAGAAAUGCUUUAUUCUCAGUGGUUUGUGAUUGCUGACCAGCAAUGUUUUCACUAUAAAUGCCCUUAAGCUGCCCUUAGUGGUAUCAACACAUAGCCUAAAAUUAUUUGCUAUGUAGCACUGUAAUGUAAGCAGCAUUUGUACCUGAUCCUGAUUGGUUGCAAUCAUUCAGAGAGAAAUUUCAGAGUGUGUGUGGUUGCCUGUGGGGAAGCACUGCAACAGUGGCGUAGCAUGGGGGGUGCAGGGGGGGCCGGCCGCACCGGGCGCAACAUCUGGGGGUUAGGGUUAGGGGGCUCAAAUCCACGGGUUAGGGGGCACAAAUUACUUGCCUUGCCCCGGGUGCUGACAACCCACGCUACGCCACUGCACUGCAAAAUCAUAGGGUGGGGAGGUAACAUUCAGGUUGCUAUUCUAAACACACUUACUAGAUCCAGACACUCUUGGAGGGAAAAGGUAUCCUUCUUAAUUCUCUUUGACUUCUCAGAGGCUUUUGAUACCAUAGACCAUCUGCUGCAGCUGAGUUAUGGGUGGGUGGCACAGCUUUGUAGUGGUUCUGGUCCUACUUUGAUGGUCGCUCCCAGAGGGUGAUAACUUGGGGAGUCCUCAUCGGCCCUUGGAGCCUGCCAGAUGCAUGUGGUUUUCAGGUGGUAGUGGUGGUGUCACUCUUAUAAUUCUUUCUAAAUGAAGUCAUAUUUAGUUGAUAUAGCCUUUUUGGCUGUUUGUCCAUAUGCAUAACAAAAAAUCCACCAGACCUCAGCAAAAUCUUCUGGGUUUGCUAGACCCUUUUGUCCCUUCUUGGAUGUGUCAGUUUCUCAGAGAUUGCAGUAAAUAUGUCAGCUGCCCAUUGUUAUGCUGGCCACAUCCUUCCAGCAUAACAAUGGACAGCUGACAUAAUUACUGCAAUCUCUGAGAAACUGACACGUUCAAGAAGGGGACAAAAGGAUCUAGCAAACCCAGAAGAUCAUGUGAGUAACUAAGGUGUUCAAGGCAAUGAUUGGAUUUUGUCCCACCAAACAUGGAGAGUUGGCAAAGUUAAGGUUUAACCAGUCUUUAGUGACUUCAUGUGUGCAGUGCACUAUGGAAACAGAAAUAACCCUUUUAUUUUUGCCUUAAGUGGAUGACUUUGGAUCAGCACCAUCACCAAGAAGUAGGCUGAGAACUAAUAUUAAUUCCAACCCCUGGAAGUUGAUGGUUUGAGGUGCUGUUUCAAUAAACAAAAUCUAUCAAAGUCUCAGAGAGGAGCUGAAUGUCAUCAGAGUACGGUGCGCAAUGUAGUCAUACAUCAUCUCUGGUUGUCAAGGUAACAUACCAUUGCCAUUCUAAGAAUAAUAGAUCUUUCCAAAUCCCUAUAGGACUUAGUGCAGUUGUCAGGUAGUUAUGCUACCUGGUUUCAUAGAGUUCAACUCCUUGUCGAGGGUUUCAGAAGAGAUCAAUGUAUUAACUUUUUGAAGACAAACAGAAAAUAUCCAUUUCAACAACAUAACUGUAAUUCCAGUGUCCUGUGUGUUAUUCAAACACACCCACUCCUUACAAAACAGCAGCUUGCAAACUAUUUGUAAUUGUCUGGACACAAUAUUGGGGUGAGAAAGAGCCCAUUGGAAGACCAUCUGCUUUACAUCUAGAAGGUCCCAUGUUCAAUUCCUGGCUUCUCCAUGUAGGGAUAGAAAUUGUCAUCUGCCUGAAAUCCUGGUGAGCCACUGUCAGUUGGUGUUCAUGGUACUGAACUAAAUGGCAACUUCUUCCUUUGUUGCUUCUCCAUGUCAAUUUUAGAUUACAAGUGAUUGUUGCUGGAUUCCAGCUCCUGCCUUCCCCUACUAUGGCUUAUGCUGGCUGGGGCAGCAUGACCAAUAAUACCUGGAAGGCCACAAAUUUCCUGUCCUUGACCUUUAGGAUCACACAAUGAAACACUUGUCUAAACUAGAUGAUCCAUGGAAACAGCCCAUAGCCUUCAAAAUGCUGUCACAACUACAGAAACUCCAGUGAGGUGUUUGCAUGUGUGAAUGAGCUGUUACUUCUCAUGAAAGCCUAUUGCAAUUUUGUGUACAUGCAGUGAUUAUUCACAUACAUUUGCAUAUUUACCUUAGACUAUUUAACAACUGUAUUUUUUAUCUUGAAUAAAAUGCAGCAUUUGCAGAGAACGCUGGAACCUUCUGCUUUUUUAUUUUAUGAUAUGUGACUGCAAUUUUGGUGAAACGAGGAAGCUAUGACUCACAUAAAGUGGAUUUUGAGGGUGUUCUAUGAUGUGUGAAAUGUAUCUGUCCUUUUGGUGAGAUGCAGGGUAUCAAAGCCAUCUUCUGCUCUGUUUUUAUGCCAUUUGAAAACUUUCUCCAGCCUUCCUAUACAACAUCUAUUAUGAUAUCUCUUAAAAUUGAGGACCCCCUGGUCUUUCAUAUACGUACAUGCACCUUGCAGAAUGGGAUGAGCUUUUCUUUGAUGUAUUCCCACAGUGAUGGUGACUGUUUUUGUAAUUAUUACAAUCAUAUUGGAUUUAUCUGAAAUCUUGAACAGCUGCUGCCAGCCGGAAUCAGGUUGUAUACAGACAGAGCCACAAAGUUUAUGCAACGUUAAGUGGCAACUUUUAAAAUGGAAGAAUUAUGUGAAGGGAGUCUUCCCUAUUGUAUUUACUUAUUAUCAGACCAGCUUGGGUUAAAGCAAAAACAAAACUUAAACAACUAACCUUUUUAACUGACCUAGAAAAUAUUGCCCUGUCUCUUUAGCAUGGCAACUAAAUUAAUUCCUCUCAAUUAAUUCCUCUCAUGAAAAAGAACAGAGUUCAAUUUCCUCCCCAUAGAAAUAAUUCAUAAUUUUAUGAUUCAGUGGAGCUGGUUCAUUAGAUUCCAUAUGAAGGUACACUGCACAUCUCUAAGGCAUAACAUAUAACUAUUGUGUGUGUGUGUUUUUUAAUGCUCCUGUGGCUGCUAUUUUUGGCCACCUCCCUUGAAGUGAGAAGCAAACAAACCUCCAGAAAUGUAAAUACACACAUUGUCAAUGAAAACAAAGAAGCUGCGGGAGGGGGCAUUAUUUCCCCUUAAAAAUCUGGUACUUUUAAUAUAUGCCUUCAUUUUAUAAUCUUAAAAUGCAACUUGUUAUGCUUAGCACAGUACAAGGUUGUAAUAUUAUCUUUCUUGCAUAUAUAAUGUAUAAUCUCCCUUCUUUAUACAAUUAUUUGGAGACCUCCACUUUUAGCUAGUAACCUUAGGCUCAAAAGUUAUUAAGUCCUAUUCUUCCAUACCCAUUACUGCUUUGAUUUCCUUUACUCAUGAUACUUCAAAUAAUUUUAUGUCAAAUCUUGGCUUGAAAGAUUGCCUAUCCUUCAAGCAAACAUUCUUCCAAUAAAUGGAAAACAUUCUCCACUUACUAAUAUAUAUAUAUAUCCCAUACUUUAAAUCUAAAUUGCAGCGUAUUAUUUCAUUUUGUUUAGCACACUGCAUCUAUUUUAAAUAUUGACAGUUGAGGCAGAUUUUACUAUAGUUGGAUUAUUUUAAACAUAUGGCAGUCCCCAUGUGAGCACACAGGGAUGCCAUUGAGCUGGCAGUGCAGCCUGGCUUAUGUGGAGACACCAAGUGUAUGAAUCAUCACCACCAUAUGCCCCCCCCCCUUAUAUACAGAUGUCCUGAUUUCCCUGAUAGCAUUGAGACUCUCUGAAACUCUCCAAACCACUGGAGAAAGGGUGUUCUAGUGACUUGGAGGAGUCCUACCUUGCUUUUUUAAGACAGAGACAAGUUGAAAUUUUUCAGAACGUGUGUUCUCCCUCAUGGAGAGCACAGGUUGCCGGCGGGGCUGACAAGACACCUCACUGUUACUAGGCUAAUGGUUUGGCCAUCCUUCAAGCAGGGGCGGGCUGUUACUGGGGAAAUCUAGAUGUUGCCAUUUGUUGAUUGACAGCCCUAUUUGUUAAAUACAAUGCUUGCAGCGAAGAACUUCCUCUUUUCGCUGCUUACUUCGGAUCAACUUGGACCAUCUGGAGGACAGUGGAGUGAUCUUCUCAUUGUCUGGUUACAUUUCUUUAUUUCCCCCUUCUCUUUAAUCCUCUCUAGUCCCUUAAUUAAUUUAAUUCCACCCCUUUUCUUUUUCCUGUUUGAUUUCCCACCCCACCCCUUACCCUGUCCUUUGGGAAGAUUCUCCCUGUACCUGUGAGCGCUGCCUGUGAAUAAUCCUCCUUGGCUUGCCUUUCCCAAUAGGGAGAGAGCCCCCAUUAGGGGCUUUCUUUUGCAGAAAGGUUUCCAGCUUAGCUGGAAUCACUUUCAUUUAUAGUAUCCCCAAAGGUGGCUUUACUUUGGGUGUGUGCAGCACUGUUGGCCAAAUUUUAAUCUAGCCUUGGGCAGGAGCACUGGUCUUGGAAUUGGAAAAUGGUGGAGGGGUAUGGAUUCGGCUGUGCCUGCCCCUCCAAAAUGCUGCUGCUGCUGCUUCAAGGGUUUUCUGUUAAAGGAACCCAGGGGCUCCCCAUGCUUUUGUCCGAAACCCCCUGGCAAGGGGCUAGGGUCAUGCAAGCCCCUGGGAGCAUUCUGGGGAGAGGUGAGGCAUGGUUCCCAGUCCCAUCUCUCUCCCCAGGUGACUUACCCUUGCUGACUUCGCGGGAGGUGCAAAUGUCAGAGCUGUCCCCAUGCGGGGUCAGUUAGUACUACCAAUGCCUAAGCAACCACUCACAUUGCUAUAAUUUGAAUAAAGUUGUGGCCAAAAUUAUGCCAAAAACCUUAAACAAAAAUUAAGUGUCAAUUGUGUUUUUCUUUGGGGGGGGUGUCAUGGGGACCUCGAUGCGCAAGUAUUUUAUUUGGAGAAAAUUUCUGAUUUCUUCCUCUUUUUUUAUCAUCACCCUCUAUAAAAAGACCACUUUACAGAAUUAUUUCUGAAUACCCCCCAGCAUUUUGUUUGUGGUAACCACCAUCUUCUCUCCACAAGGCCACGGUAUUGUAGAGGAUACAAAAUGGUGGCCAGGCUUCCAAUGCAGUUGCCAUUGUUGCUACUUGCAGUGGCAGAAAAAAUCCAAAAACAAAAACAGCUUGUAAGGAAAAAAGAAAGGAACUAUACUACUACCCCCACUUCUCUCCCCAACUACUACAACUUCUUCUUCUUCUUCUUCUUCUUCUUCUUCUUCUUCUUCUUCUCCUCCUCCUCCUCCUCCUCCUCCUCCUCCUCCUCCUCCUCCUUAGGUCACCUUCCUCAUCUAUUUCCCAGUCUUUAUGAGCUAUUUUCCUGUAAUUUUCCUAACAAAAUAUGUGACUUACACACACUUGGCAACAGGUCUGGUGCCUUUCAUCCUCUUCUAUUGAAAGUCCAGGCUCUUUCACAGCAAUCAUAUAGGUGUGAUUCAUGUAAUGCAAAGUAAUCACCAUUGGAUGCAACCUAUAACAAACUCACAACAGUAGAUUCUGAUGGUGAUUUUGAACAUUAUACUCAAGCACAGCAGAAGAGUUACUGACUUGUGCUUCCCCUUGUUCAAAGCUCAUCUGUUUUAGAUGUGAAACAGUGACUUGUCCUGAGUAGGAAAAUUCAUGAGUAUGAUGCCUCAGAAGUUAACACAUCUAAGUGUCCAAGUCAUCACUUUCCAUUUUGCAGUUUUACAUUGCAAAUGAGGUGACAAGUCAGUUCUGCUUCCUCAGUCAACAGUUGUUUGUAGUGUCAGAAACUGUGCAGAGGAUUUUCUGCAUAUAUGAUGUGUGUGAAUGCAUUUUAUUUCUAUAUGUUCCUUUCCUGUUGUUACCGAAUGGUGAGAGAACCUGAUAAAUAUGUAACAACAACAACAACAACCCUAAAUGCUACUUGUUAAGUAUAAAAAUGUGUAGACUGGAUGCAGGACUUGCCAGGCUAUGCAGAUUAUGAAUACUCCCUUCAUCAUGUUUUGAGGGCAAUAUUUAUACUUGUAUUAAUAGAAAUAGGGAAAUACUCAUUUUGUUUCCAUGGAGAGUAGAAGUAGACAGAUAUAAGAAAAUUUGAGAGAGAGAAAAAGAACAUUUUUUUAAUCUGUCACUUUUCCAUCAAAACUAAACACUUGGGAAAUGGUGUUACCAACUAUUUUCAGUGAAAUAAAGCAAUUUGAGAGUCUGGAAAUAAAUGUAUUGUAACGUUACUUUUCAUAUUGAUGUUAAAUUUAAGACUAGCACAGGAAAGCAUUUGCCUUUUGAGUUUGGCAUCAAUGACUGUAUUGAUCUAGUGCCCUAGUGUAUGCCCUGUUUUGCAACCUCAUCCAACUACACCUGAGAAUUCUUCCCUUUUCGUCUUCCAUUUUAUAAAUCUCAUGCAUUGUAUUGCCAGCUCUGCACAUACAUUCCUUCUGCUGUUUAUAUAAUGCAGGCCCUGGAGGAAAAUAACUGAGUGAAUUAUAAUAAACAACAUAUUACGGGCAAUCAAUAAUAUAACAAAAUCUUAAUUAUAGGCACAACCAUGCAGUUGUGUAUCUGAUGCUCUUAAAAAGAGGGGCUAUAUUCAUUUGUGUUAUUUAUUUAUUGAAAUAUUUAUUGCCUGCUCUUCAUUGCAAUAACAAUUCCAGAGCAAGUUGCAUUAAAAAUUUAAAUACAGAAUAUGUGAUAAAGCAUCGUAAAUAAAUAUACCAUAUUCCUCCACAAGUGGAAAACUAAAAGUAAUAACAAUGAGACACAUGUGCUAGUGAUCAGCUGAUGCCUGAACGUAAAGAUGGUUCUUCAUCUGUUCUCUAAGACUUAUUAGAGCUGGUGCUAACCACAUAUUAAAGAGGAAUGCAUUCCAUCAUUCCAUUUGUUUAUUUUGAGAGAUUUCCCCCCCAUAACUGCCAUUGGCUCCAUUGAGUUCUCACAGCACAGUCCCAUUGAGUUCACUGAAUAAUUGUUGUUCAACAUGAUAACUUUAAUUGUUAUCUAGUUAUAACUCUUUUAGAAACCUUCUGUUGGAAAAGGAAUACAUAAAUAUUGUAAGUACAGUAAGUGAACACAUAAAAUCCCGAUCACUAUCUCUCAGUCUGUCCUAUCGCACAGGGUUGUGGUGAGGAUGCAACGUGUAAACUGCCUUGAGCUCAUUGAAGAAAGCAGAAUAUAAUUGUGACAAAGCUACUGCAGUAACAACAAAUUACCUGAUUAGGAACAUCUGCCAUAGCUUCUACAUCAAGCAAAAUGUAAAGAAAAUAAUGAGUGGUUUAUUUUAAGUUGCACUUUCAAAAUAAAUGAUUUCCUUAAUAUAUGUUUUAUUCAGUCAGUAGUAAGGUUUUUAUAUAAAUUUUGCUUUUGAAACAUCUAUAUUAAAUUAUUAAAUUAUUAUUAUUACUAUUAUUAUUAGACAUAUACACUGCCCUAUACCCAGAGGUCUCAGGGCGGUUCACAACAGGACAGCAACAUAUAAAAUCAAACCAAAAGCAGUAACCCAAUAACUCCCCCCCCCAAAAAAGCCACAUUCUAGAAGGAUGUUGAAUGUCAAUAAGAUCAACCGAAGGUCUUGUUAAAAAGGAAUGUUUUUGCCUGACGCCUAAAGGUGUAUAAUGAAGGCACCAGGCAAACUUCCCUGUAGAUCAAUAGAUAAAAUGUGUAAUAAACAUCUCUCAGUCUCUCUUAGUAUCCAGUCUUUGUUCACUAACAAAUCUGUUUUAGUCUGUUCCAUUCAUAUACUUCAGAAAGUUGAAACAAAAUAAAAAAAUUCCUUCCAGUAGCACCUUAGAGACCAACUAAGUUUUAUAUUGGUAUGAGCUUUCGUGUGCAUGAACACUUCUUCAGAUAGUUUUGUCUGUCUGUUCUCUUAUGCAUUUGGAUACUUCUUAAUAUGCCAAAUUUUUCAUGAUGAUUUCCAAGAUCAAGGAGCAGCAUUUUUUGUCUAUGUUUAGAUACAUUUGGAUACAAUUUUGGAUCAUGAUGGCAGGCUGAAUCUUUAAAAACUACACUAUUUUGUGUCAUGAACUGGCAGGACUUUGGGAAGGAGGAGGAGGAUCCCAGCAAGGGGUGCGGCUGGGACUGAGUCACACGGGGGCAAGCUGGGGGUGGGGAAGGAGAGGUUGGUAUAGGUAGUACUCACAUGGUGACAGAGGAUGACGAGGGGCCAGUGCACAGGAAGCUGAGCAGAGGGACCCCUUGCCAGAGCCAGAGAGGCCCCCAUCCUCAUGAACAUGGUGGGUCCUGAGACAUAGGGAACAGUGGGCUGUGCACUCCAGGAUGCAGAAGCAGGUCGGUGCUUGCAGCCCAGUUCAUUAGCUGACUAGGUGGGGAAAGAGGCAUGCGAUUCCUCAGCUGGGGCAAGAUGAGAGCAGGUGAGGGUCACAUGCCUCAUUAAGCCCAGAUGCAAUCAGCAGGCACAGUAGAAGAAGGCAACAGAGCUGAGGUAUUGUGUCUGCUCAACUGCCCAUGUUGAGGUCUUGGAUGCUCUUGGACCUCCACAGGUUCCUACUUCAGGUGUGACUUCAAACUUGGAUUGACCCUGAACCUCGUUUCCUGACUUUGGGCUUUCAACUUUGGAUCUCGGAUUGUGGAUUUUGUGGAUGCUGAUCAACCCUGAACCUCACUUUGACCUUUGGCCUUUGACUUUGGAUCUCUGACUGCGGACUUUGCAGAUGCUGAUUGACCCUUGGAUUUUGGACUUGGUCUUGACACACUGUCUGCCAGGUAGGCCAGGGGAUCAGAUCUUUUUGUUGUGGUUCGAGGACCCGAUCCCCGCAUAGUGGAAUGAAACACAAGGACACGUGAUAUAAGGUUAAUGGGCAAGAAAAGGCCACAACUUUAUUGAUUACAGCAAGUGAAAAGGUAUUGGCUUAGGCAUUGGAUUACGUCAGCUGACUCCACCCACUCGGAGAGUCUAAAACAGGGGGGUUUAUUCACCAGUAGGUGGAGCCUGUUGAUGCUAAUCCAACAAACAGUGAGGCCGGGAGGCUGGCGCCACAGCAAUUUAGGCUGCUGUACACACACCCUUGAAGGCACCUGGUUGGGUGCCUAGCUGUGGGCGUGGGCGCCAGCCAGGUGAGUGGAAGGCAGGGGGCAAACGCCCCCUGCUUGAGGUGGAGUCCGGCUCCCAGCCACAACCACUCCCCUCUCUUGCAGGGAGGAGAGUCUUUUGUUUGAUUGGAAAUAUAUUGGAAUAUAUUUUAAAACAUUAUAUAUGUGUAUAUCUGCCAUAAGUGAGCCCAAGAGGUCUUUGAUUGGGCAGCAUAGGAAGUGUGGAUCAAGUCAGUUCUGAAUGGAAUUUGCAACAGAAGCUUAAAGAGAGUCUACAUAAGAGAGAAACCAAACAGUGAAAAAUCCCAUUAAAAUUCCCAUUCCUGAAGCAAAAAAAAAAAAAAAAAAGCCUUAGGGUAAGGAAGGGGCAGAUGGUUUCAAGUAGCAGAAGGCGUCCAUUAGCACCUCUCCCCAGUAGCAAGUAACAUGCGGUAUGUCUUGUUUCCCAUCAAGGUCAGAGGGCAUGAGUGCAAUAGUUUGCCACUGAGAUAUUUCUGAUUUGAAUAGGAGCCUUCAAUUGCCUGCUACCCUAUUCCUCUACCCCAAUAUGCUUAGACUUUUUCAUGCUGAAUGAGGAUUGUUAGUGGGGGGAAGGAAGACAGCCAAGGUAUUUGUGCUAAUAUCAUCUACUCCUUGCUUAAAGGUGCCUGGUGCCCAAAUUGAUUUGGACUGCUUUAUUCACAUUGUUUGGAUCUGGCAUGCUCUUUGCACCAGUAUUCUUGAGGACUGCGGGGUGGUUCUCACUACUCCUCUGACAGCUCCAAUAGUUCUUCCACAGGUCUUCCACCAGAACGACCCUCAAUGGUAUCUUUAACACUGGUUCCAGGAGACCCUCCUUGACUCAUGGAGUGUCUGGUUUAUCUUCUGAGGACUCAAUGUCUGGCACCAGGUCAGGGCUAAGCACAAGGCCUCCUAUUUGAAUACUUAGGCCCUCUCUGAUCUGUGCAGCAGACUAAAUUACUGUAGAUUCAGAGAGAACAAUAAAACCCAGAAUUACUACAUCUUUACACAUAUUUGGCACAUCUUAUCACCUCUAUAGCCUGCAGUCACUUCAUUCAAGAUCUAUUUUAUUUAAGACCAUGACACAUUUGUUCAAAUAAAUGCACACCUCUGGUCCUCAAGCACUGGAGACAGCCUGCAAUGUCACAUACUGUUUAUAUUGUAAAUUAUGGUUUUUUAAAAAAUUCUGUUUUAAAUCAUGUUGGAUCUUCAUCUCUCUGUGUGUAUCAUUCUCUCUCUUUUUAAUAUCAUUUGGAUCAUUUUAACAUAUUCCAAGCUGCACAUUCAAUUAAAAUUGAACUGAAGCAAUGAAGAUGCAGCUGCUCUAUAGCCUGAAAUAAAACAUGAAAAAAUGACUGAAUUGGAGUUCACAUUUAGAUGAGGUUUUGUAAACCAUGUGAUGUCACCCAUGCUAUCUCAGAACAUAACUUUCAUUUUAUCCCCAAACCAGAGUGAUUUCUCCAAAUGAAUCAUAAUUUGUUAUCUUGAAGGGCUGUAUCUUUUAAAGGAAAACCUGUGGGUUGUUCUUUUCUUCCAUUUCCAGCGGGCAGUUUAAAAUGUGUGAAAUAUAUGAAUGGAAAUAUUGAGUGGGGGGAAGAAGCUUCAUGUCUUUUCCAGUAAAUACUGUUUGUAUACAAAGAGCUACAACUAUAUAUACUGUAUGCAUGCCAUCUGCAUACCUUAUGCUAUGUAUACACUCUUUUGGAGCCCAAGAGUGGGGCAUCAGAACCACAAACCACAGUGGGUUUCUUUCAGAGUCUGAGCUGCCCUAAUUCUGCAGGAAAACACUGGGAUGUCAGAAGGAAACCCUGUCCUGAAACCUCCUGUUCUCUGUAAAGCAAAGGAAAAGCAACCAGUGCUAUUUUUUUCCCUUAGAAAAACCAUCCGUUUAGUUUAGGAUUUCCCUUCUCAGUUCAAGCUAUCAUCUCUGUUGGAUAUCUGAUGUUUAUUUCAUGUCUCUAAAACUUCCCAUUCAUCCUUGAUUACUUUAAUAACACAUUCCAAGCCUAGUAAAAAGAAGCGAUCAACCCCAGAGCCUCUCUUCAUGUAGAUUGCUCCUCACUACAGCAGGAGUUCCUGUAGGGUUAAUAUACUUCAUUUCUUGGUUCAAAAGCUCUGAUAGUAACUGACUACUUCCAUAAUAGUCACCAAAGAUAGGGGGAAAUAGGGUGGGCAGGGGCAGUCAGCUCUGUUUUCUUAAAAUAUUGGGUUGGUGUUGUCCUAAAGCAAAUAUUGUCAGCAUACCACCAUGAUUCUGUUUUGUUGUGCUAGCUUAGAGAACUGAGCUUGGCUUUCAUGCUGAGACAAUAUAAUGGUUUGGCACUGCUGUGACAACAGUAGGUACCGCUGUCAUUAAGCAGUGCACCAAAAUCUUGGCAUAUUACUGGGAGGAUAUGGGGCAUGAACCCAGAUGACUAUACCAUAGGUAAAAGAUGAUGAUGAUGAGGCCCUCCCUAAAAGAUUUGCAUUCCUAAAAGAAUGUAUGUGGCCAUGGAAACUUCUUUGCUGGUUUAAUGACAUCUAGCUGAUGUACAGUUGUAAAUGGUUGCCAUGCUAUUGAUUAGCCAUCUUACUUCUUAUCGGGUGCUUAAGGUGACAGAAGCCACUCUGUGUGCUAUUGCAGCAAUGUCUAAUUUCAGGAUUGGGGGUGCAUUUGCUUUUUAUUUUCAUUAUGAAAUUUCAUUUGAAAUACAUUACCAAAAGGUAGAGAUCUUCUGUACUGCCUCUGAUGGCAGCACAAGUCAAUUUUUAAAGCACAUUACACAUGCAGCAAAUGCAAUUUUGUUUUUAUUAGCAAGCAUAAAAACAUACCUCUCUGGUUCAGGUUUCCAUGUAGCUUAUGUUGAAGUAGGGUGUUUUACUGCAUUGUCAUCUGAAAUGAAGACCUACAGUAGACUAUUCUGUUUUCAAAAACAUCCAAGGGUGAUGUGCAAAAGUAGCCUUCGUAUAAUAGAAAGGUAUUUAAUCUGCAGCAAGGAACUAGUUACUAUGCCAACAAGUCACCACAAUGAGAAGUAUUUCCAAACUCUUCUAUUAUAUGAAAUAUUAACAGAAGAUAAGAUGGUAAUUUACUGUUAACUUUGGUGUAGUAACUUAACCUUAUACGUAACCAUUUACUUGUACAACAGAUCUCUCUGCUGCUGCUAGGCAGUGGAGAGCUAUUUUACUGGAAGGCCUCUUUGAGGGGACAUAAGAAAGGACCAAUUGGAAAUUUGACAUGUAUUUCAUACACUGGGUCCCUACACAAUACCUGGCAUUUGCCAGUCACAGUGGCUGACCAAUGGUUUUGUCUGAGUGGGCGGGAGACUAAACUGCCACCUUCUGCUGUGCACUGCUCCACUGUGGGCUCCAAGUCCCCUUUAACUGUGAUUGAUUCCAUGAGAUUCACAUAGUGUGAUCCAAGAUAUUGGAAAGGGGAAUGUGGAGGGAUGUAAGACAUCCUGCUAAAUUGAAUGGAAUGAGAAAAAAGGUACAUGGGAUGACAGAAUGCUGCCGUAUACUGAGACAGACCACCAGUAUAGCUAGCUUGAUAUGCUGACUGGCAGCAGCUCUGAAGAGUUUCAGAUGGGAUCCCUCUCAGCCCUAAUUGGAAAUGCUGGGGAUUAAAAAUGGGAAAUUUGCAUGCAAACCAUGUGCUCUACCUCUGAGCCCUAACCCUUCCCAAAUAUGAGCACUGUAUUGGCUGGAGGCUGAUAAAGAGCAUCCUGGUACAGCUGUUAAGCUCCAGGAUAUUUCUUAUAAAAAGUUAAUUUACAGAAGGAAAGAAACACUUGUCAACUAUGGAGAGUGACUGUUUCAAUUUCAGGGUAUGGUCAAAAAGUUUUAUCUGUGCUAGUUUUGAAAGCUUUGGUUUGAGUUUGGAGGUUGACCCCUCAUUUGUGCAGUAAUGUGAUGAGAAUUAGAGACAAUAAAAUUGGGCUGUACAAUUAUCUUUAUACAGACACCUUCAAGUGCAUACAUGUGGGCAGGUAAUCCCUCCCCUACCUGGCCUGAUCUCCUUGGCAACGCUUCCCCCAGAUGGGAUUGGACAGCUGACUGGGGUAGGCGGAGACCUCCAGGUAUCCCACCUGAGGGAAGGCGAAGCCAAGCCUAUGCUGAUGGAGCCGUUCCAGAUCCAGGGGCUGCGCGCGUCCACGCAAAGGUCACCCUCCCCCCCGUUUUAUGCGGGGAGUGGUCAUUAUUACAAUGCUCAUUUAAAAUAAUCACUUUUCCAGCUGUCAGCCAUGUUCACUGUUAAGUGAAGCCUUUUAAAAUUCUUAUCAGUGUGUUUUUAUAAGGGUGUUUGUGUGUCUCUAUCCACACACCCCCACACCUACAUACAGACACACACACACCCUAGCCCCACACCAUUAUCACUUAAAUCAAGCUAAAUGAAUGCCAAACAAAUUUGUCAGUUUUGAAAAGAAAACUAAUAUCUGCACUGCUUGAGUAACGUUAGCAAAUCUUGGAACACAUUCCACAUUAUGAGCUUAAAAUGGAUUGAUAGUCAUUAUCUCACCAUAAAGGGGCUGUAGUUUGGUGAGGGGAGUUACAGAAUUGCCAGCAACCUCAGUUCUAUGUAUGUUUCUCUUAUGGUCAAACGUAAGUUCAAGAUAUAAAAAGUCUAAGGUAUAAAAACUUGUAUUUUAAUUGUAUGCACUUCCCCUAAAAUAUAUACAUAUUGUAUACAUUUUGUACACGUUAUCCCCAUAGAAUGUACAUUUUGUAUGUCUUUUUCCUACAAAAGAUAUCUUUGGCACACACACUGGAUCCCUAAUGGAGCACAAACUGCACCAGCUUUGGAGUUGCCAUAGAUUAUUUCCCUCCAAUUUAAUUUGGGGAAAACUCAUCACACCAUUUGUGCUGCCAGUAUGAGUCCAGUUGAUCAUUGAUAAAAGGUGGUUAUCUUUCUUUGGUCCUAUUCCCAUCUUUUGGAUUGCUCUGUAAGCAGCUUAAUACCAGGAUAACUAGGAAAUCUCCACAUGGAAAUAACUUUUCAUUGAAAUCAUUUGGUGGAACCCUUCUGCAUUUCUUGCCACCCUCUGGAGACAAAGAAAGGGUGUACACACUUAAGGCCUUUGACCAUCUUGUAACUAGAAGUUUUCAAGGGGAUCUUUAGUUGCAAAGAAGUUCAGUAUCCAGAGAAAAAACUAUGUCUGAUCAGCACCUGAGUGCAGGAGGUGUCAAUCAACUGAAUUCAUGCUGGCAUAAGAAUGAAAUGAAUUCCUUGAACAUCCCUACUUGGACAUUCUAAUUAGUGUAAAGGCGGGAUGGAACUCCUUUAAUACUUGCAGGACCACACAUUCCUUUUCAGCAUGGCAUUUCCAUCUUAUGACUUUUUAUUAAAAGUACAAUGUGAACCUUUUUGCAGCUUGCAAAGACAUUCAGAAGAUUUUUCAUAUUUUCCGAGGCACGGCAUCAACAUGGGAAUUUGUAACGUAUUUUAGACUAACUUAAAAUAAAGCUAAAGUGUGUAGCGUAUCCAUUUAAAUGGUAGAUGGCUCUAUGCCAAAAUGCUGUUUCCUCCCAAGCUUUGAAGAGUAGAGAACGUAUACUACUUACACCUACAUAUUUAUUGCAGCUUAUUAGAUAGAGGUAAAUAUGUAGUUAUUCAGGGGGUGGGCGGGGGCAGAAUGAUUUCUUUAUUCCCAGAACAUGUAUAACACAGAAAGAAAUUGCCUGAAUUCACCUUAUAGUGAUAUAUUUUGUGUUUAUUUCAAUUUUCUCUGCUGGUGGUUGAAUGAAACUCAUGGGUGCCAUUUAGGAAGGGGGGCAGUUACCUCCAUGUGGUUCAGACCACAUGGGAAUUAUUCAAGAGCCCCUAUAUCUUGGAUCAGCUCACAAGCUCCAUGCAGGGAGUGAUUCUUAGAAUAGGAAGUAUGUUAACUCUGUGUGGCGAAAACAGAAACCCUUUUGCUUCAAAAUGAUAGAACAAACCCAACAACCGUAGGGUGGUUUGUGCUACUAUAAUACUAUGAGAUUUUUUAAAACAUGAAAAAGCACAACAUAAUGCUUCUAAAAGCACUUUUAAAUGAUCUUUAAUCUUUCUAGGAGCAGAUGUUUGAUUCUAUCUGAAAUGAUGUUCAUGAUGGAGCUGUAACUAGGGCAAAUCUUAAUGGGGUGUUUGGGGUAUUACAGUGCUUAAAAUGAAAACAGGGCUUUUUUCAGCUGGAACUUGACAGAACUCAGUUCCAGAACCUCUCAGGUGACUACCAUUGCCAUUCUAACAUAUUAAGGGAAGUGUUCAUUGUGAGUUAUGGCACCUCUUUUUCUAGAAAAAUAGCACUGGAUGAAAGGCCCAUCUAGUCCUGAACUCUGUUCUCUCAGUGAUCAACAAGGUGCUAAUGGGAACUCUACUAAUUGUUGUUUAUUUAUUUAAGCCAUCUCUGCUGGUGGCUAUAUUUCUGCAAUCUUAUGUUGAUAAUUUCCAUAUUUUAAUUAUUUAUAUUGUGUAUGAAAACUAAUCCCAUGGGGGGAAAAUAUUUGUCCUUCUAAAUAAGGAUAAACACAGAAGAGUAAGCAGUCUUUUUUUCUUUUCUUUUUUGCUGUUUCACACCUCACAGGCUCAUCAAUUAGAGAUGACCUAGAAACUUAUCUGCUUGGUGAUGAGGCAUGCACAGUGUUUGAUAUCUAAUUCUCCCCCAGACACACAGCUGCUGUGUGGGGCUAAUGGCCAUAUUUACAAUAUCCCCUCAACCUUCAAAUUGCCUCUGCUGCUAAACUCAGCAGAUUCCAUAAGGCCAUGAAGAGUUACUGCUACUUAGCACAUUCCUGAUUCCUGCCUUUUGCAAGUCAUAGCAGUUAAGCAGGAGCAUUAGGGAUGGUAUCUUCCAUUUGUCAACACAAAGUUACUUUCUAAAAGAGCAAAGGGGAAUUGUGCUUUGGAUGCUACAACUAUGAGUCAUUGGCCUCCCCCUGAGACUUUGCUUUCAUAGGUUCAGCUUAAUGAGUAGCUCAAGGCUAAGCCUGGAGACUCACACAAAACAGGGACAGAGAUCAGCUUUGGAUCAUCCAAUGGUGUGUGGAUCGGGAAAUGCCACACUGAUGAACUGCUCCAUCAGCAGCAGUCAGUGGCAAGAUGUCUUAGUCAGGAAAACUGGGCAGUGGGACUCAUCCAGCCCCUCAGAUUAUUCUGCCCAGUAGCAAUCCUGACCCCACUUACUUUCAUUGAAUUCAGUAGGACUCACGGUUGAGUAGACACAACUAGGAUUGCACAUUCAAACCAGUCACUCACAGAAUGUUAUUACAAACUGAGCCAAAUGGCACAAAAGUUUAAUCAUAGUCAACAUUGUUGCAUUGCUUAAACAGAUCCACAUACGGCUGGAGAUAAUUCAAGAUGUACAUAUUUCUUGCAUUCAUGCUGACCAAUUAAAUAAAGGAAAAUGGGAUACAAGAGCUUGUGUAGCAUUAUCAAAAUCAGCUUAACUGUGCAAGUGAUUAAGAAGACAAGAGCCUGCUGGAUCAAUCCAAAUGUUGAUCUAGUCCAGCAGUUGCUUUUAUAAAAAGUGGACAGCAUCAAAGAUUUAAUGCUUUUGUUCAAAUAAAACUAUUAAAAAUAUCUUUAUCUGGUGAACUUAAAUGAUCUUGCAAGAACAAAUAAAAGAGAAGCGACUCUUUCUAACUUGGAGGCGUCACUCAAAUCAAUAUUGGUGUCCUGCCUUGGGACUUCAAAGCACAGCACAAGGAAGCAACAAAAACAAGUGUUUAAACCAUUAGAUUUGAACUUCAAUAUAACUUGUUCCCUUUCUGGCAGAAGCACGGUAAUAGCAAGCUUUGCAGUGUGUUUUAUAGCCUCACACCCAGAGAUAUGUUAUGAUUUGAGGCCUCUUUUCUAGAACUAGUUUCUUAGUCUGCUAGCUAGGCCUCUCGUUCAAAGGAUGAACUAUCAGUCUCACUCAGCAGCUCCUGUGAACUCACAUUAUUCUUUACAUUACAGCUACAUUGCUGUCUUCUGUGUAUUUUCUAUUUUUCAGCUUUGCUGCUGAAGCUCACUAUGUAGGAGCUAUUUAGGAGGCGCUAAAAGGCAGGAGUUCAAAUCCUGGUCAUGGUAGAUAAGGCUAUUUCUCUACCAGAGCUCUGCCAACAUUAAAUAUUUUAACUACACCCAAUCUUUUUGGCUGUUUUUUAUUUUUAGGACAGCCUUUUAAUGCCACUUAUUUGAUAUGUCUGCAUCAGAUGUUCCAAUAGAUGAUAGAUGGAGAAUUUUCCACACAUGACCAAGUUUGGAAUACUUAAAAAUAUAAUAACACUGACAUAUAUAGAGCAGUGUCUCAGCUGCCAAAUGAGUCCUUACCUUCAGGGAAGAUCAAUGGAAGAAGUAGUAGAAUCUGAGUUUUGAUAGGCAUGGAUCUUGUCUUCCUUUUCCAUCAUUGUACUUUCCUUUACCCUAGAAGCUUGUAUGUAUACAGAAGCUCAUGUUGUCACAGAAAUCAUAUGGUUGGGUCAGCACCAGUAGGUUAUAUCACUGAAUGCUUACUUGCAGACUCAGAUGUACACAUGGCAUUAUAUUCAUCUCAAGGAUGUGGCAAAAAAUAUGAUCCUCGUAUUCUUCUCUAGCUCAUAUUUAAUCUGACUCAGAGAUGAAUUCUCACCAACCGUCUCUCAUUCACCCACUUAUUAAUUCACCAAAUCUAUCUUUUUGCUUCAACCUCACUUACUAGCAGUUAGGGUAGAAAAUUGUAUCCCCUAGUGGGUAAUUCAAGCCUGAGCAGGGCUUGGAGAGGGGGUGGGAUUCCUUCCGUGUUUGUGUGUUCACUCUCAAAUGUAUGUGUAUAUAUAUAUAUAUAUAUGAGAGAUAUAUAGCUUGGCACAAGAGCCAGAGAUAAAAUGUGUCUACAACUGACUAUGUAGUUUGGGAAAGAAGGCAGAAACAGUCUUAGGAGGAUCAUUUAGGGACAGGGUGGACAUGAGAGAGGGGAUCUUGGGAGUUCAAAGGCGUUAGUUUGAGUUGGUUUGAACAAUUUUCAUGCCAGCCUAUCAUGUGCCAGGAAUAGCUCAUGCAUCACUAUUCAUUUUUCACAAAUUUCCUUCCUACAGUAAAUGCAAUAUAUGCCAUGGACUUGUUCCCACCAGACUUAUAUAAACCAAAAUAGAUUGUGCAUGUGGAAAGAAUGGCUUUAUCUGAAAUAUAAGCUAAUUGUUUUUAUUCAAAUAGGUCUGCCUUUCGCAUAGCUAGCACGCUAUUACUCUCACGAGAGUUUUCAGCUAAUUGUUGUAUCUGCCACUUGCUAAAUUUGUUUGCUAAAUUACAAAGUCACAAUGGGUGCACAGCCAGCCACUCCCCCGCCAAAAGAUCUUUACUCUAAUUGUUUUAUCUGCUGCUUGCUAAAUCUGUUUGCUAAAUUGUACCUUUCAUUGAGCUUACACCAAAACCUUUUCAGGAAGCAAUUAGUACCUACUGACAAAUUUUAUAGCAUCGUGUAUACACUUUAAUUGCACGGGUGGGUCUGAAGGAGAAAUGUACAAAUAAUACAGCUGUCAAAAGACUGUACUAAAGCAUUGCCCAAGGCUUUCAUAACAACAUUCCUGUUAUCGGACAAACAUUGUUUCAGAGACAUGAACUUGAAAGCUGUUCUUCCACAUGUUUGUGUUGCUUUUGUUUUUAUGACUGACAGAAUAUUGUUACUCUAAUUCGAAAUCUUAUCUCAGGGCCAUAUUCCCUGUUUUUGCUUCUGUGAUGCAGAAAUGCACUCCAAAUAUAGACUCACUGGAACCAGUACCACUACUCCUACACCAAAGGACUGAUUUAGAAAGAGUAGUAAUAGCAGGCUGUCUGUGUAUUCCACAGGGAUGGGGGAGAAAAUCAAUUCAGUUCAAACUGAAAAACAAGCCAGCUUUCACACUUCCCAAAACAAUAUGUGAAAUGAAACACAGUGAUCCUUUUAAAUUCACACCUCUCUAGAUUUUGCAAUGCAGUCCUCUAGCCCAGUAAUGCAGGCAAAGGUGCAUAUACUAUGGUAAGUGUACAAAAAAUGGAUAAAUCAGUAAACAUACCGUAAUAUGCAAUACUGUAUUAUGGACAAUUGUUUGCAAUAACGUGUAUGUUCCAGAAAAAUGGAUACAAAAAUGUGUGUAUUUGGAUAAAGCCAAACUAAAAUCCUAUGGAAUCUUCAUGAGAACUAUUUUUAAAAAAAUUAAAAAGAAACUGAUAGAGAAAUGCGGAGAACUGAAUGAAAGACUGGAAAAAUAAUGAAGCAAGCAUAGCCAGGGAUGUUGUGGAUUCUAGAUCAGCAACAUCUGGAGGGGCAAAGGUUCCUGUAAUAAUAACAGGGGUUGCUCGUGCAUAAGUUGCCGCCACUCCUGGCUAGGUUGCCUGGUUAAACCUUUUCUGUCUGGACAGCCCUUCACUUCGUGGCUGUUUUAGUCGCUAGCAGAAUCCGUCAGUGGGCGUUUCUUAAACCUUUUCUCCUCCUACUCUCCCUGCGCGGAAGUCUUCUGCGCAGGGAGGGUGUGGGUAGCGGAGGACCCGUGCUCUCCCCGCUGGUCUCUGGCGAGGAGUCCUGGAACCCCCUCGCCGAUUCCCCCAUCUGCCCCCCCUUUAUCCCUGGUGUUAUGCUGAUUUCCUUCCCCAGCUGAUGAGCUGCCUCUCUCCCUGCUGGGCCCUUCUCCAGCAUCACUUGGGAGCCUUGCCUCCGCCUCUGGCUCUGAUGUCAGUUCCUUGACAGUUCCCUACAACUGAAUUAAAUAGAUCAGAUAUCUAAAGUAAGCACCAGCAAAGGCACAUAAAUAUGUAGCCCUAUUCAGGUAGUCACCUGAACAUUGUUUAAAGUGCCCACAAGUGUUACCCCAUCGCCAUGUAUGCAGCUUGUCGCAUUCAGAUGAACACUUGUAUAUGUCUCCACGUGAAUGGGAAUGUUGCUAAGGGUGAGGCUUCUUAGUGCAUUCCACAGUGAAGUUGUGAGGAGGAGCCCACCUGUGAAGGGACAUUGAGAGUGGAACUUGUGGGUGAGUCUCCACCUGCUCCUCAAGCAAACAGCUGAAUAAGACUGAGCUUGGCCACAUUUACAGAAAAGUAGUCAAAAGAAGAUGAUAGCAAAAAGCUCUUACUGUAAAUACCAGAACAUAGAGGUAGAUUCCACUUAAUCUAAAAACCUGUCUCCACACACAUGCCUUAACGAUUGGGGUGUUAAUUACCUUUUCCUUCUGCUGGAAAUCUUCGAUAUUUGCAUAUAACUGUACAUAGAGAAUGUGGAAGGAAAGAAAACUCACCUGCCUCAAAGGAAAACUCUCUUCCCAAUCUGGAAGUUGCAGUAGCCAUUGAAGACUUUCCUUCUCCUUUCACAAUCACCCUGAAUGGCAGGACAUGCCAGCAAUCCACCUCACUGGCUACCACUACGUAUAUGAUAGUUUUGUACAUAUGGUUUGGAGCACACUUUGCUUAUUUGAGGGAACAUCUGACAGUAUGAUGCCUCGCCUGAUUUAUAAUUUAGCUAUGACUUGACAUUUGAAUUUGCUGAAUGUGUAGUUCAUUUGUAAGUCAUGCACCACUUCCUAUAAAACAUAUGGGUCUGUACUAAUGGCUAGAAAAUAGUUUGGGAAACUGCUGUGUAAAGUCUGAGAUUUGCAUCAGUACCUUCAAUUAUGUUAUCCUAGAAUACUGUGGCUGCAUAGUAAUUAUCAGGGACAGACACUUGGGAAACAUUUUUUAAUCAAAGAAUUUUGAUUAGUCUAAUCACUGCUCAACGACGACUGCAAAUGCAAGGUCUUGCUGCAUUCCAGCUGGAAACCUUAGGUUUCUUUGCUAAGGAAUACAGAAAGUGUUCCUUGGAAAUAAUGACACUGUUGUGGCUGCCAGAUGAAAUUUGCAAGCUGAAAAGUGAGAGGAAUACCAAAGAGCAGAAUACCUUAAACAUAAAAAACAAUAACUUAAGACGUUUGACCUAGGCCACUUUGUGUUUUCCAAGGCUAACUAACAGCUGCUAGCACAGCAUAAAGCUGCCUCAAGUUUGAUUUUAUGUUUUUAGCCAUGGAGAGUCUUUCUGUAGACUAUUAUUUAUUGUUCUGUUUUGCUGAAUGCAUCGAUUACAAGAAAUGCCUCCUAAAGACAGAAACUGGCAAGAUCUGAUGUACAACUAUUAAGAGUCUGAAUGCACUAGAAUGUACAAUGUAAAUCCCUCUGAGGAACACAUCCCCAUUUUUAUGAACAUGCAGUGCAUCACUACAUUCACCAUAAGAAGCAUCUUAAUUAUCAUUUUAAUCAAACAUUUUGUUUUUCAACAGUCUACUGUUAAUUCCCACUUUUUGUCGGUGCCCUAUAGCACAAUUUAUUUUUUCUCUCUUUCUGCAUCAUAGAUCUCUCCAAAUACUAAUAGAAAAGUGGGCAUAGCUAGAGAAAAAGUACUAAAAAUAAAAGAAAAGGUCUUUCUCCCUGAUUUCUGUUCUAAUGUUCCCCAUUUCCUCUUCAUUCAGCUCUUACUGUCAGGAAGUUCUUCCUAAUGUUUAGGUGGAAUCUUCUUUCUUGUAGUUUGAAUCCAUUGCUUUGUGUCCGCUUCUCUGGAGCAGCAGAAAACAACCUUUCUCCCUCCUCUAUGUGACAUCCUUUUAUAUAUUUGAACAUGGCUAUCAUAUCACCCCUUAACCUCCUCUUCUCCAGGCUAAACAUGCCCAGCUCCCUUAGCCGUUCCUCAUAAGGCAUCGUUUCCAGGCCUUUGACCAUUUUGUUUGCCCUCCUCUAGACACGUUCCAGUUUGUCAGUGUCCUUCUUGAACUGUGGUGCCCAGAACCCAGAGUACUGGACACAGUACUCCAGGUGAGGUCUGAGGUGAAGUAACAUUGUAUUGUGAGGCAUAAAAAUGGCAACUGCCUAUCUCUAGCUGGAGAAGGUUGCUGCUUGGGCCUCUUCUAGACAAUGAAGAAGGGAGCAGAUGGUGGUGGCACCAAGUGGUUUCAGGGCUCAGCAGGUUAAGUGUCUUGGUGGCUCUGUCAAAGGUGUGCGGGUUUUGUCAUUAACCUAGCCAUGCCAGAUGCUGACAUCAAGUCCCAGUGUAAGGGCUCCUCAUAUGAGCAUUCAAUUUUGGGGGGGUCUCAGAGACUUGGAGCCUGGUCAAAGGAAUACUUAUGGGAAAGUGGGCAUAGCUAGAGAAAAAAUACUAAAAGGACAAAAAAAGGUCUUUCUCUCUCACAUUAUUAACAUUUUAUUCCUGUGUAUUAAUUGACAGAAGGUGACCUUUUGAAACUCUGCUGAAACAAAGUUGCUGUGGGCAUUUUCAGGAAAAAAAGGACAAUUAUGCCAUGACAUCUGGCAGGCUAUAGCCUUAAGCCUUAUUAAAUAUAUAUGUUUUGAAACUUUAAUAUGGCCUGCAUAUUUCCCAGUGGGAUGGGAUCUCCAAUCCACUAUGGUACCUUCUUUGUUUUAACAGUGAAGUUCCUUUGAAUAAAAAUAAAUGUUUUUUUAAAAGCUUAAGGUUAGCUGUGUGUGAUAUCAUGCAAGAUUACCAUUGGACAUCCCAGCAGCCGAGACCCCAUUAAUAUACACACAUGCAUGGUGAUGAGGCAGAUGCUUCCCUGUGGUGUGCUUCCACAGUGUGGAGAGCCAGUGUGGUGUAGUGGUUAAGAGAGGUAGACUUGUAAUCUGGUGAACUGGGUUCGCGUCUCCGCUCCUCCACAUGCAGCUGCUGGGUGACCUUGGGCCAGUCACACUUCUUUGAAGUCUCUCAGCCUCACUCACCUCACAGAGUGUUUGUUGUGGGGGAGGAAGGGAAAGGAGAAUGUUAGCUGCUUUGAGACUCCUUUGGGUAGUGAUAAAGCGGGAUAUCAAAUCCAAACUCUUCUUCUUCUUCCAUACCACAGAAGCAUGUGUGUGUGCGCACACAUGGACAUUCUAACGCCAUUGUUGUAUUCUGGGUAAACCAUGGAAAAUGGAGUCCUGGCCACCAAGCAGAGGCUCCAUUAUGCACACUCAAUGCUAGCUUUGCUUUAUGCUGGCCUUGCCCUAUGCUUGCUCAAGACUGAAGUUUGGUGCAAUCGGAACAGCGUGAGUAGCUGAAUUUAGAAAUUUCAAAGGAGCUUUAUAUGAGGACUUCACAGAGGAAUGAAAACCUAGGAUCAAAGAGAUCAUGCUAAAUAGAAAGGCUGUUCGUUAUGAUAAAUGCUAUGUCAUUGAAGGAUGCCAAGUCAAAACAUAUUAGAAGAACAACAACUUUGAUAAGCACAACCAAGGAAUGGGCCUAAUCCAUCAUAUGCAUAGUAUAGAUAACACCGAGGAGAUGAGUGUAGUAGAUCUUCUCCCCAGGCCAUAAAAUAGAAAAGGACAAUUUAUGGAGUAAACAAGAAAAAGCAAACAACAUGACUGAUUCUAUACAAAUGCCUGUAUUUUCCAUAUUUAAAGCAAUUUAUCUGUUGACUUGUAAAGCAGAGUCAUGCAAUGCCCACUUGCAUUUAAAGUAGUAAACCCAAAGAAAGCUAAAUCACACAUGGGGUUUAUUCUAGCGUUUAGAUUGGCCCUUACUUAGUAAUCCUCACAAGCACCCUAUAAGUAGAUCAGUCUUAUUGUCUAUUUUAUACAUGGUGGGCUAAGGCUAAAGGACUUUAUGCUGCACAACACCAUCCAAUAAGUUUAUGACAUGAGCUGAGAGUUAAAGCAGUGGCUUCUAGUUCAUACCUCAUGCUCAGAACAAACAUGCUGUUCCAGGUAGACCUAUCCAGAGACCUAAUUCUUCGAAAUUAAAGCCACCCACCUGAUGCCUCUCUGCCUUAUGCGCCAUACUCUGACAACAACAGAUAGCUCUGCGCCAUCUUGACCUGUAGCGAUACGUGGCUCUUUGUAGCCAACUCACCUGACACCCGAGUCCCUCUGAAUAUAUCUGUUUGAGCUCAGGAGUGGGCUGGAUCCAGUGCACAACCCGACUCAGCAUGAAAAUGAAUGGAGGCACAAGAGAGCUUCUGGACUUUCUUUGCAUUCUCCUUCCUGUGCAUGGUUCCUUUGGACCUGAUAGUUUUGAUGCAGCAGAACAUGUCUAUAUUUAUAGAUCAAGGUUUGAUUUUAAAAUUUCAUGUCCUUUCCCUCUCCCGUUUAAAAUUAAUGACGCCCUUUUCCCUUUAAGAUGAUUUAAAUUCAUAGCCUGCUGAGCAUAUAGGUUCUGCUUUUUAAUCCAGAAAAUUACAGACUAUUACAGUAAUAUUAUUCACCUUUUUCUCUUAAAAUGUCAAAUAGCUAGCCUGAAAUCUGGUAAUGGAAGAUAAAUUUGUAUCUUGAGAAAGACUUAAUGAUAUUUUUUCAAAUCUUAGUGUCGACUGUGUUGAACAAAGAUAUUAUUUCAACACACAAUGUUGAAUAAUUACUUUCUAAUAUCUACAAAGUGUUUUGUUCUAAUGCUUUUCCUUAAUUGUACAGUGGUACCUCAGGUUACAGAUGCUUCAGGUUACAGACUCCACUAACCCGGAAGUAGUACCUCGGGUUAAGAACUUUGCUUCAGGAUGAGCUAAAGUGGUACCUCAGGUUAAGAACAGUUUCAGGUUAAGAAUGGGCCUCCAGAACGAAUUAAGUUCUUAACCCGAGGUACCACUGUACUUAUAUUGUAUAGUUACAUAUAGUUGCAUGGUGGUUUCAGAACCUCUGGAACUUAUUUACUGGUCCAUACUAUUCUCUAGGCUGGGUAGUGUGGGAAGUCAAUUAAGCAUCUCUUUGUGAUAAACUGAAAGGUGAUAAUAGGAACACUGCUGUAUUUCUCACUGUAUCUCUAUCACUUCAUUGCAUUUGUACAGUAUCCAACCCACCUGUCACUAAAUACAAUGCAGGUGAUACUAUGGGUGGUGUUUUUGCCUCCUCAUUUCAAAGGAUAUUAGGUGAUGGAGCAAGAAUCCUAUCAGAGCUAGAUAUGAUCACAUCUUCACAACUAAUACAUCACUGGAGAGAGUCUUGCUGGACUUAACUAGGCCCUCAAGACUGUGUUCUGGAUAUCCAUUCUGUAGUCUUAGGUCUCAGCUAGACUGGUAAAGAAAAAGAGAAUUAUAUGUGUUUUAUGUGCCACCAGAUGGUGACAUGGAGUCCCAUUUUUCUCUACCUGUUUUCCCUGUUUAAAUUUACAAUGCUUUAAACUGAAAUGCUUCUUUGAUGUGUCUAGAUCUCGCCUUGUUAUCUGUGCAACUUUUCAAAGCCAUACAAAAAAAGGAGUUUAGUUAAUACAUCUCCUUUUGCCAUAGUAGUCAUAGCUGAAGUGAAUUUCAGUCCUCGGUGCAAUUGAGUUGAAAGUGGUUUUUGUGUGUGUGAUUAAGCACCAGUCACAGAACAGCAGCAGGAUCCCCCAAAAUAAGGAGUUUGAAAACUCUAUUUAUAAGCAGAGCUGUCAAAAAUACAUCUUGCUGCUUUUCAUUUAUAUGCAAAUAAUUUGGAAUAUGUCUUGCAUUUAGCUCAAAUAAAAUGCAGAUGUAUGAAAUAUGUAAAUAACUGGAUUUUUUCUUGCUGGAUAAGUGCCCACCUGCUCUUUUUGGAUCACAAAAAUAUAAUAUGUCUGAGUUUGAUUGUAAGAGCCUGAUCCUACUUAGGCUUAUUUAAAAGUAAGUCCCACUAUAUUCAAUAGGGCUUGCUGCCAAAACUGUGGUUGGGAGACAUACUUAUCUGGGAGUGAGCCCCAUUCAACUCGGUGGGAUUACCUCAGAGUAGACAUGACGAGAGCUGCACUGUUAUUUACAGUUGCUGCAGUGAUGCCACACUUCAGUGAGUUCAUCAUUAUUUAGUAUGUAUUUAACAAAAGAAUUUUCUCCCUCAGGGCAGUCAUCUCCUCCCUCAUCCCAUAGUCAUCUGCCAUCCAUUCACCUAUGGGAAUGAAUGAGAAAGUGUGAAUGACACAAGACACCUGCUUUCACUUCAAGAAGACACAUCCCAUCCCCUUUUUGAUGCCUGCCAAUCCCUCCUCCUCCAUUCCCAGAGGAGGGUGGCUGGGACCAUGUGGGUGGGGAAAGAGGACACUGUCCUGUAGAAGGAAUAAAGGAAACAGACGGAAUUAGGCGAAGGCACCAGGUGCCUCAUUCUUGCAGAAAUUUUUAGAGUGGAAGAAGAUUGGAGAGUUACUUUCCCUCAUCUCACUCUUACCAGUCUUGUUCAUUAGGCAGAGCCCUGCCCUACAGGAUUCAGCGAAGGGCACUGAAAAUCAAGUCAGCCCCUAUCUGCAUAACCCUUCACUCUUCACUCGUUCAUUUCACUUUAGAAUAUGCUAGAUCACCAGGAAAGUAGGCUAAAAAUUGUUGUGAAGUGUCUCCCAAAAUAAAGUUGCUAAGUUCAUGUUUGAAAAGAUGGUGACAAAAUUUCCGGGGUCAAGCCAAUUGCUCUAUGUGUGCUGGUUUUAAACAGCAAGAAGCUGGUCCUUGUGAACCUCCCUCAAGUCCCAAUUCAAGGACAAUUCACCAUCUGCAAGAGUCUAGCUUUCCACUGCAGACUGCCCUGGAGUGUCUGUCUGAUGACAGUAAUGAAUAGCACUAUUGAGGGGGAAGCCCGGCAUAUGAUUCUUAGCUUGUUCCCAGAACUGAUAAAUUAUUGUUUGACUGAUAGGAAAUGAGUUUAUUAUUGGCCUCAAGAAAAAUAACCUGCAGCAAGCUCAUUUACUGCACAUGCAGCUGAAAGAGAUACUGUAAAUCCAUUUUCUAAAUAUGUUUUCCUCCAGGACUGUCUUGACAAUAGGCCCAUAUCCCCUUCCUGAAGAAGUAAUUCCCUUAAUCUAUUUUGUCACUGAAACUCAACUACAGCACACUCUAGCAGACCUAUUGUUAAUGUCACUUUUCUUCAGGCGAGGGGAGUAAGUGGUAUCUUGCUGAAAAUGAGUUCUUGCUUUAAUUCGCUUUAACACCUUUAACCAGGAACGGAGAAGCUGUACUACAACGCCCAUCAUCCCUGGCUGUUGGCCUUGCUGGGUGGGGCUGAUGGGAGACAGGUGGAAAGCCACAGUUUCCCAAUCCCUACCUUAAAAAGAAACUUGGACAUUCAGGAGCUCAUCUACAUGCAUCUGAAACCCAUGUAUCUUUCUGUGGAGAAGCUUCCCCUUCAGCAUUUUAAUAAUCAUAAGCAAAUGAACAAGGAAAGGCAGAUGAAAUGCAAAAGCACAAGUCAUUUCACUGCAUGUUGAUGUAACACUCAAAGGCAGGCUUUAAGUGACAGCCUGAACAUUUGGAAAAUUAGAAAAUCUGGAAAAGCAGAAGUGCUAUUUGUGUGACUAUCACUCAGAUAUAAGCCAAUCUGGUAUGGAAGCUAGGAGAACUCAUUGAUGUGUCUCCCCAUACACAUGUGAUGAUUAUACAAUCAAUAUGAAUAUAAAAAUUGGGGAAAGUGGACUGUGGCACCAUGAUUAGGAACAUUCUGAAAUGUUCCUACCAUCUAAGGACGUUUCUAUGUAUGUGUGAAGAUUGAUACAUAUUUUUGUACAUUCCAUUGGAGCUUAUGUCCAGCUACGUGUAUGGGAUUGUAGCCUAAGACAUAGAAUACAACAUACAUAGAUAUAGUAGACAGGGUUGCUAGGCUCUUAGAUGAUAAACUUUUGUUAAACCUUUACCCACUUGUGUUCCUUUGUUCUUAAUAUUUUAAUUAAGACAAUUUCAUUUCUUCACUAACACCUUCAUUAUUUACAAGUAAAUCCCACUGAACUAAGUGGCACAUAUUCCCUAUGUUUUCAACCCUUUGGGGUCCCUGGCUCCCUUGACCAACUACAUUCUUUCUGUGGCACCCCUGUGGGGUUCAGGAGCCCAGUUAUGUCACCCCUUGCCUGCAGAGCUGGCAGCCCCUCACCCCUUUUCUAUCACCUUCUCUUGUGGAGUGUUCCCUCAGCCUCCUCUCUUUCCCCCUCUCCUUGGGAGUCCUCUGGGCAGCUGCACUGCCACCCCUGGUUUCUGAGCUGCCCCCUGCUCCAAAGAGAGGUCCCUCUUCACACUGCCCCACAGGGGCCUGGGAAGCACCCCCUGGUCAGCCCCAGAGGCACCAUUCGCCUGGGGAGCUUAUAGCUAGGGCUGCUGCAAUAAACAGCUGUGCAAGCGUUUGGGAGGCAGAGAUGCAAGUGGGCAUCAGAGGAAGGAAAGAGGGACAGAGGCCAGCAUUGCCUGUGGCACCUCUCACCAUCAUUCAAAGCACCCCAGGGUGCCACAGCACACUGGUUGAAAACCUCUGCCUGAAUCUAUGUACACUGGAUUGCAGUGUACUUAACAAAAAGUGCAAAUUUGCUAUGUUCACAUUAAAAUGUGAACCAAACUCAAGUUCUCCCCCAUCCCUACUUUUUAGCAGUUCAGUCACAGGCCACAUUUCAACAGGCUUUAAUUCACCACUGCAAUUUUGAAUACAACCGUACAGAAAACCACAGCCAAAGUCGUCAAAUAGAAGAACACUUUGGAAAGCACCAAGAAAUACUGAACUUGUGAGAACUGCCACAAGUUCUGUGGGAUAAUGCCCUCCUGAAAGACAAACACUAUUAUGCAAAUAGGUGCAUACCGUAUAUUAUCUGAUAAUGAUAGUGAUGUUAAUAAUAAUAAUGAUGAUGAUGUUUAGUUCUUUCUCACUUUAGAGCUUUUCCAGUCCAGUGCUCAAAUGAUCAGAGUUUAAUAAUCUGACAGCUGUGAAUUUGCUCAAUAGUCCUGAUUCAAAGAUUUGUCAUGAACAUGAUAUGGAAACCUCUGUUGCCUGUAUUCAGAGGACAAAAAUUUCUGCUGUGAACAUUCUCUAUCCAGUAUGAAUGCAGAAUAGGAGAACAACAUAGAGAUAGAAGAAAUGAAAUUUACCGUGCAAAUGGUUCUGAGAGGGUAAAGAAGCAUGAAACAGAUAUAUAAUUAGAGAUCUCUGCAAACAAUCUGGUUAAAAGAUAUUAGAAACAAUUUCAAUGCCAUUUCAAAAGCAGCAGUGCAUUUGGGAGCAUUGCUAUUGGAAACGCAGCGACUGUGAACUCCUGAAGAUUUCCAAUAGAUGUGGGCAGAUAGAAAUCAAUUGAAUAAUAGUAACUCACAUCCAUUGUGGGGUUGUUGUUUUUUUACUAAACUUGAGAAAUAGGAUAAAAGGGGGAGAUGUCAACAGGAAUAAGGAAAUUUGAGCAGCAGGACACAUUAUAUAUAUUCAACUGUAUGAACUGAACAUAGGGUGGUAACCACAUUCUCUAUCAUUACUUAGAGAAUGCAAACACCUGACUAAUCCUGUUACAGAAAAUAGAAUAAUAUCAGCCAACAUGUUAUUUAACUGAUCAAAUAAGUGGUUGUAAAGUAUUUUUUCCCUCCAGGCAUACCUGCAUGAACUGCUUUCAAAUUUUGCUCCAUUCUUUCUAAAGGGAUGUUUUCCAUUAGAUAAACACUCUCUUACAAGCUGCAGUCUCCUUGCUUAAUCCCACAGAGUCAUUUUAUUAAUCAAGCCUCUCGAUAGAUGAAUAAUUUCUUUUUCUUAUGAUUUCUACAAAAGAUUUUGGCUUGGAGAGAAUAAAGGAAAUGUGGAACAUUUCCAAGCCCUUUUGUGAAGCUACUGAGGAAUGAUAAGUCUGCUGUGGUUUUUUAGACAUUCAGACUUUCUACAAUGAAGGAAGAUCUAAAACUGGCACAAAUAAUAAAGGACUAUGGAGGGUCAAGUUAGAAUUCACACCUGUUUAAAUCAGUCUGGUCUUUAAAAAAAUCAAGGCCAUAUGAGAAGCUGCGCUUCUGUAGACAGUAUUACACAGAACUGAGAAAUCAUGGAAGUGUUGAACUGAAAACUUAUAUGGUAUUUAUUAAUGGAUUGUUUUUUCCACCUUUAAUAAUACAAAUCUUUACAAGGUAGCUGAAAGCAAACCAUAAAAUGAUGAUAAAAUAAAUCAAAGCAUCAAGAUAUUCAAACAUAGAAGGAUGAAACAUCAAGGACAGGAAUAGCACCAUAUCUGAGAAUACUUCUAAGUGUCAUUCCUGAUCAGCUACUGAUCAGAGAACAGGGACAUGCAGCAACAACAUGGCUAUAUACUAAGGGAAAGAGUGGACAGAGAUCUUCAAUAUUCUGGCAAUGCAAACUAAAAGAAUAGUGCAAAUUCAAACAUCAGUGCAGAUUCAGUAUUGGGACCAUGUGCUUUAGAUUUGCAGCGGGGUGGGGGGGUUGUUUUGUGUUUUUUUGAAGGCGAAUGAUUCAGAAGCAUCUUUAACUUGGUCAGUAAGUUUCAUAUGGUAAAGCAUGUUUUGUGCUUACCAUUCUAAUACCCUUCUUAUUAGAAUGAGUUCUCAGAUAGCUACCCACGUGAAAAUUUGCCUAAAUUAAUCAGGUCACUAGAUGAGGAAGAUAUCUUAACAGCACAAUCAUAUACACAUCUUUUCAAAAGUAAGUUUCACUGAGUUCAGUGGGGCCUACUGACUGAAUCCCUACUAACAAGUUGCUGCAUUUUGUUGUGAAUCUACCUAAUUUGCACCUCCUGAAACAAUACGUUCAGUGAAAUGCAACUACCUUCAAAAUUUGCACAUCUCUGAAUUUUGUGGUGCAGUUCCCCAAUAAAAGAAUGAAUGUUAGAGGGGAGUGUAUAUAAGUGUGCAUGUGUUAUAGAAAACACACAGAAAGGCAUUAUAUUUGUAUUUAAAAUAUGUUGAUUUUUAUGGUGAAUUUUCCUGAGGAUUUUUUUUAAAAAAAUGCAAUCUGAUGUAAAAAUGAGGGAAAUAGAACUGAUGGUUGUAAGAAUGAGAAACUGAAAUUGACAGAUUCAUAUCUCCCUCCCAGCACCCAAUAAGCAGAUUCAGGAUUGUAGUUUUCAUGAUCUGAUAGUAUUCUAGAAGUGCUCCUAUGAAUGUAUGCACACAUUCCUCAGGUAUAAGAGUGGAGUUUAUAUCAGUCAAUGGCAUCAUUUAACAGUGUUUGGGGCUAAUAUUAAGACCAUAAGAUGCCAAAUAACCUUGUAAUCAAGCAUCAGCAGCAAAGUCUGUAGAAAUGUCUCCUGCUUACAUAUUUUUCACUUUAGAAAGUGUGAAAAUCUAGGUGUUAUAUGAUUAAACUCUACAACACGCAUGUUGACAGUAAGAACACUUAGCUGCUUCUUUACAUCAAAUACUAAACGUAGGGAGAUCAAACGCUAAUCUUUUAAAGACUAAAAUGACAGGGAUAUGGAAUGGUAAUCUAAGUUAUUUGAGAAUACUUUACAUCUAUUUGCUCCCAGCUAUAUGCGCCAAUAGAAUAAUGGCCAGAAAUUUCAACUGGACAAGGAGCAAAUCCUGUGUGGAAAAAAUCCCACACCAACCCAUUAUAGAUUAAUUAUGGAUGCAGUGGGUGGGGUUUGAACUAUUAUAUCCCACACUAAUGCAAAGAAGGUGUAUUGUUCAAUGUCAGGCCAGGUUACUGCAGCAAUUUGUCCUUUCGUUUGAAAGAUAUUUGCUCUCAGUCGCCAAUGUUUUAUUUGCUCAUUGUUUUCCUUAUCACACUUGCCAUGUCAUUUUAGAACUGAAGUGUCUGUAAGAGUGUUCUAUUACAAAUGAGGUUUACAGGACAAAAAGGUAACUUUCCUGUCCGAAUAACAGCAAUCAUGUCAAGCUGGGGGGGGGGGGAGAGAAACCCUGCAGGUAAUAAGUCUGCAGAAGGCCUCUUGGGUCAUCUAGUAAAUGUUCUUGAUGUUCCAACGGGUUGUUUGAGGGCAUACAACACAGUGCCUUUAACAAAUCUGGCAGUGUGUCAUCUUUGUUCGCCUCUCUGGAGCCAUAAAAUAUAGACAGUCUCCACAUUCUGACCAUCCUUUACACUUUUAAAACUACUUUCCAAUUUAUUGCUUGACAAACAAAAGUUUGAGGCAUGCUUCUUAGAGAUAAAUUCUCACACAAACUGUGAGUUGCUUGUGCUAACCACACUGUGAGAGAUUAUCCAUAAAGAACAUAUGCCUGCAAUUUUUUGUGAGUCCUGACAGGUCUUGCAUGGACAUUAAAUCUGAAUCAAACUGCUUGAGCAGAAGGUCUUUCUUUAUAAAAACUUGGUUUCCUUUAAAAAAGAAAUCAAACAGCAUUGACGGCUUGACAAGAUACAGUAUGAAAGCGUGGAAUAUAUAGCAAAAACAAACAAACAAACAAAAUAAACAGCAAAAAGCACCACGGUGGGAAUUGUAAUAAGCAAAAUGCACAUUUAAAAAGCUUUCUAAGGAUUCUUAAGGAGUGAGCCUUGCUUUAAAAAUCUCACCCAAGAAGACGCUUUUCCUUAGGAAAAAGUGAGACUGUGCUUAUGCUCUCUGGCAACCUCUCUACCAACCAAGUACAAGUCAGAAGUUGUGCUUGCUGAAACUUCCUGCACACUCCUGUCUUCUCCCAGACCUUCCCCUAAUCUUCUAUAUGUUGGUUACAGAGUAUAUGAGAGGGAAAUGUCAGUGUAUAGACUCCCCAAGCAGGCCAGCAGGUAGGAAUGAUCAGUUUGGCUAUGGACAGAUGCUUUCCUCGAGCCCAUCAUGACAUUGCUGCUGUUUGUUAAUAGGAAGUUUCUGGGAGAUGCCCCCAGUCAAUCUGGCUCAAUGUAUGGCUACUGCUGUGCAAUGCAUCCUAACAGAAUUCCUUACUCUCCUUGCGGCCGGGUGUGUAGAGCUUGCACUAUCCAGCAGUAGCCUCCUUACUAUGAGAAUAAAAUCAUAGAAGGACCACAAGGGUCAUCUAGUCCAACUGCCUGUAAUGCAGGAAUCUUUGGGUCAAAUCCACAACCCUAAGAUUCCGAGUCUCAUGCUCUAGCAACUGAGCUUUCCCGACAGUGAUGGAAGCAACAGAGUGCAAAGUCUGUGUGAGUGUGUCAGAAAUGGCAGAGGACUUGGAGCACUGGGAGGUGAUGACAUGGAGAUGAGAGGGUGCACUGACCAGCUGCGACCAGACACUUCAAUGGUCCCCAAACCCAGUGCAGCAAGUCUAUUUUUCUAAAUACAGUGGUGCCCCGCAAGACGAAUGCCUCGCAAGACGAAAAACUCGCUAGACGAAAGGGUUUUGCGUUUUUUGAGUCGUUCUGCAAGACGAAUUUCCCUAUGGGCUUGCUUCGCAAGACGUUUCGUCUUGCGAGUUCUUGCGAGUUUGUUUCCUUUUUCUUAAAGCCGCUAAGCCGCUAAGCCAUUAAUAGCCGCUAAGCCGCUAAGCGGUUAAUAGCUGCUAAGCCGCUAAUAGCCGCUAAGCCGCUAAUAGCUGUGCUUCGCAAGACGAAAAAACCGCAAGACGAAGAGACUCGCGGAACGGAUUAAUUUCGUCUUGCGAGGCACCACUGUAAAUGAAGAGCAAAAUAGAACCUUAAAAGAUAACCAUUUACAACACCACAGUUGGGAUGGUGUCAGCGCAUGUUACAAUACUAUUCCUCAACCACCAUUUUUUUUUUCUUUGCAAAAGAUUUAUAUUUGUCUCAGCACAUAAAUCUUUGCAAGGGUACCAAAUUUCUGUAGCAAGAAAAGUGGGGCAUGAUUUUCUAAAAUAAAUAUUUUGUAAAUUACUUUUAGGAUCAUUAAGUGGGAGAGAAGAGAUUUUCACCAUCGUGCAGCUGGCUUCGAUCUGGUAGUUAUAAGUGCAUGUGUAAAAUGAGGAAUUUUUAGCUUUGGGGUAUUGUUUAUAACCACCCAUUUUUCCUGCAUUUCUUAUGUUGAUUGGUGGACUGUGGGAGCUUCUAGUGCCCUACUUCUUAAAUAUAUUUUGGUGUUUUUGCUUUGCAUUUUAAAAGAAAAGGUCAUUCAUCUUUACAUGUGCAAUCUGGGAGUUGGAUUUGUAUCCAUAAACAUUUCCUUUGCAGCAAAAGGAAAAUCAUUCUAGAUCUUUGGGUGUCCUGGGUCCAAACCAGGAACCCUUAGAGAGAUUGUCUUCUGCUGAUGACUGUCUUGAGGGGAUCAAUCCACUCCUUGGUCCAUCACAUGUGGAACUUCAGGCAGGAGGGCCCACAUCUCCUCCCCUGAACCCCUGCAGGGACACCUUACUCACAGAGCCUUCAGAGAAUCAGGACAGACACUUUCCCAGCAGCUGUCAUAGCAAUGCUUCUCAAUACAUUGUGUGACCAGGCAGCAACUGCCCCAGCCCCCAGGGGCCACCAGAAAGGAAUAAUGACUCGUGAUAAUGUGCUAUGGAAUUAACAUUUGGCCACAACUUUAUUAAACUUUCAAAUGUGGAAGACCUUGGCUUAGGCAUUGGGCGUGUAUCCCUCCCAGCCCCCCAGCCGGGGGAACUGGGGCUCCUCAGGGUUAAUGGGAUAUGGGGGUGCACUGCAAGACACACAUGUACGCAGGCAGCCCACCCCAUAUUCCCGCACGCAGGGUAGUUCACUGAAAAUCUUUCAGGGUAUGGCCAGUGACACCCAUGUUACAACCCCUUUAAGAGGGAACCGGGAAUCGCUGCCGUGUGGGGGGGUGAGUCAGCACUUCACACACACACCCAUUAUAGGGAAGAAAAGACUAAAGGAUUCCACCCAAGGCCUUAAACUGCCAAAGUUAUGACGAAUUGCUACAGGGAGGACAAAACCUGCCAAUGCAGGAUCUUCCUGGUUCUUCAACAGCAACCAGUCAAAAGAAUGUAGCAGCGCCCACUAAACAGGAAGAAAAGGGUUAGCCUGCAAACAAGAAACAUUAAACAAAGGGAGGGUUGGGUGGGUGGGUGGCUGAAGCUCCUGAGCCGACUGCCUGGCUGCUGCCGGCUCCACCCCCUAUUUAUGCAACUGGCCCCACCUCCCAGCAGUGUAAAUUGACUAACUGAGGCUGGGCGUGAACCUCCAAAGAAUAACACUGAGAGGCAGGCCAGCCCAUACAACCAGUAAGUUCCCUGCACGAUCUGGCAAAGGGCACCCACAGUGUAAAGUGUGAGUGCUCAUUAUGGAGAUAAGCAUUUUUGCCCUCAAAGUGCCUUGCCACUUUGUCACAGCAUUGACUUGUUCCUCCAACUAUAGUUAAAAUUAACCACUGUUUAUCCACAUGCAAACCAAUGUAGCAACUGUAGCUAGCUAAAAGUGGAAGCAAAAGCUUCCAGUCUCCACCUUGUGACUGCAUCCAAAGAAGAGAGUGGAGGGGACGUUAAUGAGAGCAAGACUCGCUCACAUGACACUAAACCAUAAGUUGAAUGCUACUUCUGAGCUAGGCCACCAAAUCAGACAUCUGAGCUACAGCAAAAGCUUCACGUACAGUGGAUGUGCCUGCAUAUACUUUGCAGAACUCUGGGGUUGGGUGAGAUAAUAAUUUCAUGAAAUCCUCAGAUCCUGAAUGAAACACUUCUGAUUGCAAAAAAUUACUACUAAUUCUUUAAAGCACCAUCAAAUAUGCAUAUUUAACUAACAAGAGGUAAAUGAAUAAUUUAUCCAAGAUAGGAUGGAAAGGAAGACAUUAAAUUGUUAUCUAUAGACCCAUUUUGCACUCAGAAAAGCUAUUAUGAAUUCUCUGGAGUUUUGUUCUGUGCUACAUGUCUUCAGUGUUCUGGAGUCAUUACAAAUGUGUUCCGAUUUUUAAAGAGUGCGCACUUUUGACAUGCAGCAGUAGCUGAACAAAUAUUCUAUUAAGAGCUUUUUGGAAAGAGAUUUCUUUGAAAUGCUCUUUUUAAAUUGCUAUUCCGCACAAGUAAUUCAUGUUGUAGGAACUGUGUGGUGCCAUUUAAUGAAAUUAGAAGGACUUUUAAAACAACAUUUUAUUUCUGUUGAAAUUAAGGGAAUGAACAUUUCUUAAAAAGGAAAGAAAAACAUUUUACGUGCACUAAUGCUUCCAUUUCAUUGACUGAAAAAGUACAAGUAAAUACAAAACAGGGGAAGCUAAGAAGAAAGGGACCAGCAGAAUUUCCUGUGCUGGCCAAAAUAUAAGUUGUGAUUGUGCUGCAGCAGACAAAGUAUGAUAGACGCAGAACACAUUUCAUUCGUCCAACAAAAGGGUAAAUGAUGCCUCAGAAGCGUAUGAAAUGGUAUCCUGCAUUUUCUGCUAUAGUAGCUACUUCAGAAGUACUAGGCUAGAAGGCUAAACCUGAGCCAUGUUACCAUUCAUAACAUAUGGAGUAUGGGGAGAAAAUGGUAAUUACUAUCAAACUUUCAAUUCUAUAUUUUUUUCACUUUCCAUGGCUGAUGCAUACCCAUCAUGCAUACUUUAGUAAGCAGUGCUCUAAAAUAUUCUGGGCCUCGGGAGACAUUACAAAUUGUAAUUAGCACCAUAAAGUACCCCCAAAAGAGAAAGAAAACUGGACAUGCUCCAGAAUCAUUCCUUCUGGGUCUCCUCUUCCCCUGUAUGGGGAAGGGAACCACAAAACACACCCAGCUGAACAACCCUUCCAACAUUCGAUUUAUUUUUUACAAAGAAAGGGGGGGGGAGCAGGGGCACUUUAAACAGAGGAUGGAGUACAGCACUUGAAUUAAUGAUUGCGUGUCGAGGUCCCCAAUACACCCCCCAAAUAACUCACAACAGACACGUAAUUUUUGUUUAAGAUUUUUGGCAUGAUUUUGGCCACAACUUUAUUCAAUUACAAACCAUGAGUGGUUGUUUAGGCAGUGGUUAAGACUAUCUGUCCCCCACCCCCACCCCGCCUGGGGACAGAACUGACUUCCGGGCACCACCAAAAGCCAGUGUGGGAAAACAAGUCGGGGGAGAAAUGGAGCUGAGUCACAGACCCUCAAUUCUCAUCCGCAUGCUCCCCAAAGGCUUGCCGGCCCUAGUCCCAUUCCAGGGAUUGGACGAAAAGAUGGCAAGCCCCAGGAUUCCUUUAACGGAAUUCCCUUUCCGCAGCAACCAUGGAGGGGCAGGCCCAGCCUAUCCUAACCCCUCCUCCACCAAUUUAUAACCAAUGCCUAACCGCAACCUUACAAGUUGUGACGAUUUGCUACGUAAUAGGCAAAAACCAAAUGGCCCAGCCAAUCAGCCAGAUGGACAAAAUUCCUACCAGGCCCCUGCUCGAAGGCAGAUGACUCCAUGACAGGCAUAGCAAGGUCAACGCAACAACCCCUUACUCUAGGGCGGGUGGGCGGGUGAUCCGUUGCACACAGCAAGAGAGAAAGCCCCAAGCUGCGUGCAGAGUAUUUAAACAUUUUACCCCUCCCACCAAAAUUGCAACACACUUUUACCCCAGCAACCCAGCAAACCAAUCGCUGCCCCCAGGCCAACUUGGAGAACCUGCCUGGCAACAAAGGGGGUGGCUCAGUAGACCCCACCACAAAACGUGCUCUCCAUGAAGGAGAACACACUUUCUUACAACAUAGAUAUAUUUUGACAAAAAAAUAAAUCAAGAGGGGUUGUGUUUCUUUCAACUUUUCUUACUGGGCAAUGGAAGCCCAUCUCAGAUAUUUUUCAGCCCUGUUACUACAUUCCCUCAUAGGCUAGUCCAGGCAUAGGCAAACUCGGCCCUCCAGAUGUUUUGGGGACUACAAUUCCCAUCAUCCCUGACCACUGGUCCUGUUAGCUAGGGAUGAUGGGAGUUGUAGUCCUAAAACAUCUGGAGGGCCAAGUUUCCCUAUGCCUGGGCUAGUCAUUUAGGGUAUCUAGAAAUUUAGCAUUACUUCACUUAGUUUUCAUCUAUGCUACACAUCCCUUGCAAGGUAUCCAAUCUGAUUUGUAGAUUUUUAUUAUUCUUGUAUUCUGUUAAAGUUACCAUUCCGUAUAUAUCUUAAUACUCGUAAAAUAAGAAUACUAUUUUAAAAGCAGUGCGAUAAGCAGCAUCUGUUCAUCCUUUAGCAUUGGCUCAGAUAGUGCCAGUACACAGUAAUUAGUAAUGUAGAAUUGUAAAGCAAUUUUGGGGUGGCUGGGCUUUUUUGCUUGGAUUCCUUUCAUAUUCUAAGAGAGGAUUGCUGCAACUCUGCACCAAUGUAAGCUAAAGGUAAAGGACAGUCAAAUUUGACUAUGGUGGUGUUCAUCUCUGCUUUCAGGCCAAGGCAGCUGGCGUUUGUCCACGGACAGCUUUCCGGGUCAUGUGGCAAGCAUGACUAAACCACUUCUGGUGCAUGGAAACACCAUUACCUCCCUGCCGCAGCGGUACCUAUUCAUCUACUCGUGCUGGUAUGAACUGUGAGGUUGGCAGAAGCUGGAACAAAGCAAGAGGAGCUCACCCCGUCACAUGGAUUCAAAACUGCCAACCUUACGACCAGCAAACCCAAGAGGCUUGGUGGUUUAGACCACAGCACCACCUGAGUCCCUCAGGUUGAAUACUACAGAACUCAGAGGAGCUUCCUUCUGAGAAAUCGGGUCCUCCCUUAAAGAGGGCAUGUGUUGCGGUGAGACCUGGCAACCAAACCCUGUGUUGUGGGUGGGUUGAUUGAUUAGCCACAACACCCAAUUGGUAGGUCCCUUGAUGCUGGAUUUAAUCAGGCCAAUGGGACGCAGGCUAAACGGAUCAAGGGACCUAUAUGUAUCUAUGCACAUGACCCAGAGCUUCCUCUUUCGGUGCAUGCAUUGGACCACCCGCCCACCUCUCCCUAUGUUUAGGGCUGUACACUUGACCUUGCUAUGCCGUUGUGUGUCAUCUGUCAUUGGGACAGGGGCACGGCAGGAAUUUUCCCCACUUGGCUGAUUGGCUGGUGCCAUUUGGGUUUCACCUGCUGUGUAGCAAAUCGUCACAACUUGAAAGGUUGCAGAAAGGCUCUGGUUCAGGUGAUAGGGAUGGGAGAACGCUCUCGCCAUCCCUAUGUGAAUGGUAUUCCGUUAAAGGAAUCCAGGGACUCAAUGGUUUGGUCAACCCCUGUGAGGGAGUUGUGCCCGUGCCUGAGUCCAGGGGGACAUUUGGGUGGCGGAGAUAGCCUGUUCCUGGCUUUCCGCUUAUCCAGGUGUUCUCCCUAGGCUGACCUAUGCUGGUGCCCUGGGUCAGCGCUACCUGAAUGGCAGGGAGCUAGUUGAACCAGAGCCUAUGCAACCAUUCACUUGCUGUAAUCAAUAAAGUUGAGGCCUAAAUUCUUCCAAAAACCAAACCAACAUUUGAGUCUUGUCUGAAUUUUUUUAAAGGGGGAGGGUUAAAGGUCUGAACAUGCAAAGCUUGGCUGGGAACAAAGUGUAAGGCAAACCGGAAUAAGUAUUGUAAAAGAAAUGAAAUAUACUAAGUGUAAAAGAAUCACUUUUGAAAGAGGAUUUGAAUUUCAUUUCACCAAAUGCUAAUGACUGGUUAUGUAUUUGCUUAUUUGGCAAAAGUAUGACUCACUCACUCCAAAAUGAAAGACGGAACAGCUGGCAUUGCUUGGCACCCAAAAUGGAUUCCUGGAAAGAAGUGGGGCCCAUUUUGUAGUGACCAUUUUCUUUUAAUUAACUCAUGUAAAAUGGUUUCAAAGGAACAGGGAAAUAAAGAAUCGGGGGGGGGGGAAUUGUGCCUAAGAUUCUCCAUGGAAUGGUGAAUCAGGUAAAACAGACUAAAUAAGAUGGGUGGGCUGUUUACUUAUUUCCUUUUAUAGAUGAAAUUUCGUUCUCCAGACCCUCAAAAAGUUCCCCAAAAUCUAUCAUUAUUAUCACCUCAAGGGUGGGAAUUCUAUGCUCACUUACACGGUAGUUAUUUUUUACAAGGCAAAGUAUUGUGCAAGUGGUUGUGACAGAUAUUUGCUGAAAUCUGAAGCAUUUUGCCCCGAAUAUCAUCUCAGCCAUUUCCAUAUGACCUGGACAUAUUAUUUAGGUUAACAUAGAGUGUACCAAGAGUUACUGUAGCACUUUUAAUAUAACAUAUUUUCUUCCUUUUGAUUUUAUGUCAAUCUUUAUGCUCUUAAAAUUUUGCAAGUCCCUUCAAGACCCCUUAUGCAGCAAAUAACUAACAAACUGAUUAAACAACAACCAACAGUACAAUCCUAUACUUGUGUACUUCUAAAUCUGAUUGAGUUCUUCAAUGGGGCAUACUUUCAAGUAAGUGUUUAUAACUGCAGGUAAUGGAAAUGCUCGGCGUAUAUCGUAUAGUAUAGAAUAAAUAAGCACAUUCUCUUUGAAAGUGGGAUAAACAGGUUAUAAUUAGUUCAAAAUGUGCAAAAUAGGGUUUGUGGCUGGCAGCAGGAACAAUUCAAGCAAAUAUUACUUUAAUCUGUCUUUUGAAUUCUAAAGCAAUUGAGGCAUAUACAAUAGGAGAGCAGCCCACAGGGAAGAUUAUUAUAGAACCUAGAAAGGUAUUUUCAUUCUGUUAGCUCGACCUUGUUUGCAAUUAUCAACGUAGCCUAUCAUUUACUAAGUGGUUAGUUGUGCGUAUGGGACCUUUUUCUUGCACUAUAAUUACAAUGUGUAGCAAAAGUAUAAUUGUGAGGAGUGGUUGAUAGAAAUGGGUAGUUAACUGUCAUUAAAAAGCUUCCUUAAUGUAUUAAUUUGCUAAUAAAUAUUUGUCAAAUCUGUCUUUGGAUGAGUUUUAUGAAAUUAUAUAUAAAACCUGGCACCAUAGCAGUGUUGUGCAGAUGACGGAAAUGAAGAGGGUUUUACCCGUCUCUGUGAGUUGAUCAGGGCUUCCGCACUUAACUUUAUGGCAAAGUACAGAUUACUUGCAAAGGGACAUAUACAAUAAAAUUUUGUUAGUCCAUAGGGUAGCUCUGCAGAUGUUUUGGACUACAACUCUAAUAAGCUCCAGAUAGAUGGGUAAUGGUAAGGUAAGGAAUGAUAGUCUAGAACGGUAGUCCAGAACAUCUAGAUGCCACCAGGUUUGAGAAGGCUGACACCAGCUCUGUACAGAAGACUCACUCAGCAUAUGAAGGUUGGAUAUGGGCCACUGAGUACAACCCUGUUCCCUCUCUAUGAGUUGAUUAUCUCAAUAUCUGUCUCUCACAUGUCAUACGAAUACAAUUUUUAAAAAGCAACCUAUUUUACGAAAAGAAUGCAAACGAGGGAGGUUGUUUUUGGCCUUUCUCCUGCCUGAUUAUUGGUAGUAUAUUAUAUAGUGCAACUCAAUGGGGAAAAUCCUAGAGGAGAGUGACAAAAUCAAUAUAGAGUUAAAGUGUAUUUAGAUUCUGUGCUAUUUUCAGGCCAUUUUCAGUACUCUUAAAAAUGGCAUUGGAUGAGUUUUUAACACCCUAAAGCAUAUUAUACAUGGAUAUGUAGUGGAGCACUUUCCAUUUUUAUAUAUAGUCAUAAAUGUGUUCUUACAAAAUAGCAAAGUGGCAUGCAUAGUUAUCAGUAUUAGUGAUUUACACUUUUAUGGUGGGUUUUAGAGUUUUACACACAAGCAACUAAACUUCUCUGAUGUCAAAAAAUCAUGUACCUUAACUAUACGAGAGAAAAUUGACCAAGGAACCUAUGUUAUGCACUGAAGUUCUCACCCUGGGCCAGCAGGGGGAUACUGUAGAUAGUUUUCACUCAGGUCCAGAUAUGCAAGUAAGGGAUUGAAAGUGACGUUCAGUGACUGGAUAGUUACAGAACGUUGUUACAGUUGCGUUGUACUGGAGCUCUAUAUAAGCAGGCUGGCUGAACCCUUCAGUUCAGUUCUGUUCUGGCCUGUGAAUAAACAAGAACUGUUUGAAGAAUCGCUGUGUCGUCUGAUAUGUUCACCCACAACUUAACACUAUACAUGCUUUGCAAUGCUUGAAUGACCAAUAAUUAAUGCCUACUUGUUCUUAGAUUAAGUCAAUAUGAGUGUGUGUGCUUGCUUUCAUUAUAUAACAAAUGGAAUGUUUACAACAGUUUGUAAGAAUUAUCAGGACAAAACUGAGCAUUCUCCUUUGUUCUAAGGUGCAAUCAUCCACACUGAUAUCAUUCUUGUAUAAUUUGUUCUACAAUUGCUUCCACAGCUGAACAAUAUUUAUGAAGCCUUUUGUUUCUUUUACUAUUUGGGUAAUUUUUGAAAAAUGUGUUGCAAGAUAGAAUGUUACACAUUUGUGUUUCUAGCCAUGUAAGUAUAACAAAAUAUUUCCAGAAGGUAUGGAGCACAAGAGAAGUCAGCUAGAACCAGAUUUAGAAUUUCAUUUUGUACAGCAUUCUGCGAAACUCAACUUCUUAAGUCAACAGGUCUACCUGAUGAAGCCACAGUUUUAUGUCAGGAAAACAAAUAUCAAAGUCCCACAGUUAGAAGAACCAAACUACACGUUCCACACAGUCACAUAUAACCACCACCACCCUCGCCACAAAUUAUCCAUUACAAAAGGCAGCCAUAGAGGCUAAAAACUGAAAUGAAAAGCUAUCAUUUUAAAGGGGGGAAUAGGAUGGUCUUUAAAGCUAGAAUUACAACUUAAGUGUUUCACUAGGAAGUUACAUUGGGGUAGGGUUGUGCCAAGCUUUUGAAUGGUCUUUAUUUUAAGCAUUUGAGGGGUGAUGAAAUGAAGAAGCUUCAAAAGGAUUGUGGGGUGUAUAAAGUCUCAUUUUUAAAAAAGUAUACAUUUUUACACCCAGACACUUUAAAACAGGUUUUAAAACUCCCAUUCGCAUGCUCACAACAGCAUACGGAUCUUUGAAGACAAGCUUCCAGCUUUGCAACACUUCUGGAUAUGAUGCCAUGUAAUGCCUGCCAUGCUAAAUACUUUCUUCAAAGAGCCUUCUGCUGCUACAAGUUGGAUCCUCCUAACAGAGGGUCCAUGUUGUGCUCGGCCCUGAAACUCUUCCCUAACCAGCUUGUGGUUGGGGCUUCCCCCGCUCCAAGCUGGUGGUGUCACAGUUAUGCCAGUGGCCUUUAGCUAAUCAGCAGCGUGGCAAGGUUGGGGGUAUCUAUUUGGCAGCACAACGUAGGGACACCUGCCCACCCACCCAUUAAUUAGGUCAUGUUUGGCCUUGCUUUGGACUUCGGUUGGUCACCUCUUUUGGAAUGGGGGCCAGGUAGGAAUUUUUCCCAAUGUGGCAGAUUGGCUGUGGCCACUUGGUUUUUGCCUACCUCUUAGCAAUCAUCACAACUUUGUAAGGUUUGGCGGUUAGGCAUUGGUUUAGGGGAAUGUGGGGAGGGGAGGUGCAGCCAUCACCUGCCCCUCCAAUGAAUAGGGUAUUCUGUUAAAGGAAUCCGGGGGUUUGGAUCUCAUCCAAAGCCCAGAGAGGGGCUAGGGCCAUGCCAGGACCCCUGGGAACCCCAGGGGUGAGCACCAGUCAAUAUACACUGACAGAGAUCCCCCUGCUGGUUGUUUACCAUUCCAGGCUUCCUGCAGGGUGGGGUAGGAGCCAGAUAUAGUUUGAUACCAAUACCAGUCACAUUUAUGUAUUUUAAUAAAGUUGUGGCCAAAAUUUGCCCAUUAACAUUUAAACUAAAUUCUGUCUCCACUGUGUCUUUAUUUCCAUUCGGGAUGGGUUUUGGGGCUCGAAGCACAAGUGCUAACAGGGUGUUAAAAGCCUAUUUUGUGGGUGGGUGUGGUGGUGGAAAAGAAUCCCUUGGCCACCUCAUUGCAUUCAUAAGGUAAGCAUACCCCAACCCCUUUAAAAUUCACACACAUUAUCCAAAGUGAAUGUCUUUCCCAGAGAAUGAAUGGGGGGGGGCAAGGAUCAGAGUUUGGCACAACACUUCUUCUGGAUGUGAAUCUAGCCUGAUUUUAAAGAUGGAACCAUUUACAAAAAAAAAAAAAGGCAAAUCAGUUGUUAUAGUCUCAUUUGCUUCUUCCUUUAUAACAGAGUUUGUCAAGCUGCACUGCUAAGACAGGUAAUUACAUGAGAAAGUAGCUGAGAACUUGGUAAACACCGAAGUGCAUAAAUGUCACUUCAAAUUAAGCAUUGCUUCAUUAAGAUACUCCUUGUUUUGUCAAGCACUGCUUCUAACCGAGGAUGAACUAAUCAUUUCUCUCAUUUUCUUAUGGUCAAGUAUUUUGCAGGGCGGCCAGCGGGGGUGGGGGGCAGAUGAAUAUUUGCAGCAGACCUGCAGCUGCUCCAGAACAUCCUGCUGUUAUGCGUUUGCUAUUCUGCCAGACCAUCAUAUCUGCAUUCGUGACUCCAUUCAGACUGCAAAACAUCUCAAAGAAAAUUGCCAGAUUUCAGCAUAAAGGAGAUAUUAUAGUGAAUCCAAUUAAUAUUAUUUGCCAGUUGUUCUAUGUUAAUGGCAGACAUUCAGUAAGACUGGACUGCUGUAAACUGCUUCCUAAAUGGCACUCCCCAUGCUGACCUAUCUCUUCCUUGCCAGAAGCAACCAGUGAGGUGAAGUGGGGCAGGGAAAGUAACACUAAGAACGUUGCUUUUAGCACCACUCCCCUAGUACACAUCACUUGUAGUUCUGGCCUAAGUGCAGACUCUUAUCAGCAAUUAUAAGACAGGGAUGAGGAACCAGUGGUCCGCUAGAUGUCAUUGAGCUCCAUCUCCCAUCAACUCCAGCCUGAUUUGGUAAUGGUCAGGGACAAUGAAAGUCCUAAAACACCUGGAGGGCCACAGAUUUGUCAUCCAUGUUAUAAAAGUCCAUAGGUCAAUAUAUCAGAAAGAUCUAUCUACUCAUAAAUUUCAUGACCAUUGUUACAUAACCAAUAAUAAUUUGCAUAAUUUAACAAUAAAGGACACAUGCCAUAUUGAAGUUGGUAAAUGUCCCAAACCAGCAAAAUGAUAAAAAUAUUUCUAGUCUUCUUCAGACAGCCUGUGGAUGUGCUAACUAAACACUCAAGAGUAGGCUGUGGAGACAAGUGUGUAGGCUUCCUGUUAACAUCAUUUUCACGAUGCUCCAUUUGUUGGAGGUCAAGGACCUGAUGUUUUGAGCCUCUGGAAGCCAUGGAGGAACCCAUUGUGUUUUAAAACCCCAAUUUUCUGAACUUUUAUUCCCCCCACCACCACCAAAUGGUCAAAAAUGAGAAUGCCAAAAUUCUUAUUCUACUGAGAACAUUGUUACAGAUCAGUUUAUAUUCAUCAAGAGGUGUGUUUUUUUUUAAAAAAAAUACAAAUAUGGAAAUUUAGUGAUAUGAAUUUAAGAUGAGAAAAAGGAGAAAAUGAAAAGAACAGACAUUGACAUAUAGUGCAGAAAUAACAUUUGCCAUAAUUAGCAUCAAACAAAUGAAAAAAGGUGGAAAGGAGCACAUGAGAGGAAAGAAUGAGAGCUCACAGUGUAUUCCUGAUUUUCUAGUCUAUAUUUUGAGAUCAGGCAGCAUUAUGUCUUCAAGGAAGAAUGAGGAAAGACCAAAUGAUGGUCCUCACAUGAUUUACAUUCUAGGUAUUCUUAUGUUUUGAAUUAAAAUGUUAAGAUACAGUUGACUUUGUAAGUUUUCAUGGCGGGGAUGGUGUGUUUGUGUGCAGUCAGAAGUUCAGUCAAGGCGAAUAAGCUUACCAAAGCAAAUGUGAGUGCAGCAGAGAUUGUUUUACUCAGUAAACACAAACUAUAUACAAACUAUACACAGUUGCUUCAGAAAGUCUUUCUGAGCCUAGAGAGAGCUUUCAGAGUCCUUCAUUCAACAAAGUUCUCAGCAAAUGUGUAGUACAAAGUUGCCAGAGUCCUACAAAGUCCACAUUUCUCUGAGUCUAUGGUCUUCAGUUUUUUCAAUUUGUUUCCAGUUCUGUCUCCACAAUCUGUCCUACACAGAAAGCUGUAACAUGAGCUUCUUACCAAAGCUGCACUGCAACAGAGAUCAGGACAUCAUGUGCACUCUGCAGCUGUACCUUAGAAAUAAAUCAUUCCAACUGACUUAUGGAGAAUUAACUCAUUCCUUCACAGGGGUGGGGCUACAAGUCACAUCAUCCCUGGCCAUUGGCCAUUUUGUAGGCUCCUAGUAUAAUUCCUCAUACUCAUAAAGACCAUUGGAAUUAGGUUAUCCCUUUCUCACCUUACAUGCUUCAUCAAAGCAAAUGAGGUCUAUAAAUUUUGAUGCCUGUUUAAUUAUACCUAGCAAGAAAAUAGACAUGCAAACUUUUGACCUUUUCUGUUUGAUCUUUUAUAUUUUGGGGGGGUUUGGCUGGACAAUUGUGCUGUAUCUGCUCUUCUGUAAGGUUGUAAACUGUAAGUAGAGUGGAAGGGCAGGGCAAUCAAAGUAUGGAAUACUGAAAAGGUUGAAACCAUAAAGCACCUAAUACUAAAUUUUGAUAUAUUUUUAUUUAAUACAAGACAAAGGUUUGUAAUGGAAAUGGGAUCAUCCCUUUGGAAUGUCUGUAUUUAUCACUGGAAAAUAGUGGGAAACUCAACAAUGCUUCAAUCCUUCAAGAUUUUGUAGAUUUCUUCCGGUCUUUGGAAGAAGAAGAAAAAGCAAAAACAGCAACUAUUUAGCUCCCCCUAAUUCCCUUCUUUGCAUAACAGUUCUGGAGAAUACUGUGGGUGGAAUGUAGCAUCACACUAAGGCAAUGUUUCCACCAGUGCAAUCAUUUCUGCUUGCUGGAUGGAAUUAUCUCCCCUCUCCUGCCCCCCCCCCACUGUUCUCCUGACCUACAUAGUUUUUGGGGGAAUGCAGGAGGUGGGGACACUGGUGGAGAAAUGGGGGGGGGGGAGAGAGUGCACCACCCUGGCACUAUCGGGGAGGGGGGUACCAUCAUGGCCCCCCCUGGACACACGCCGUGCACCCCCCCACCAUGCUGGGCCCCCAGGACACAUGCCAGGCCCCCAAGUGAAAACGCCAGUCUCCCUGGAACAUCGUCUCUCUUCCUAGUAGGCAACUUACUGCCAGGCAACUAGUAUCCCACCUCUGCCCCACCCAGAAAGCAUCUUCUGAAGUCAUAUUUUCCGUUGCAAGCUCCUCAGAGAAAUAUCAGGGCAUAAUACAAAUAGGUGGGAAAAUAAAUUCACAAGGUGAAGAAGACUUGUGCCUUGUUUUUAACCAUUUCCUUGCCAUUUCUAUGGGUGUAACUAUUAUCCUCUUUAGCCAAUAUUUUGUAGGUGUAUGACACAACCUUGAGUUAUUUUUCUCUCCCCCACCCUUUCCAGCCCCACCAUGUCUGUUAAAAUCUCAGGAGUAGCAGCCUGUUUUCCUAUCAGCUGGACUUUCUUUCCUUCAGCAAUUGGCAGAGGCAAGCAGUUUCAGUGUGAGCUGUCAUUUGAUUAUUUUCCUUCCCUACCCUCCUGCUCUGAUUCCUGUUCUUCUUUACUGGCUUGGAACAAGUCCUCACUGUAUUGAAUUUUCCUUACAGACCAACAUGUUGCCAAGGCAGAGAAGAAAAUGCUUCCUUCCCCAUCCCCCGCCCCUUCUUCCCCUGGGUGAGUAAAUGGCUAGCAUUUGACCAGCGCAGCUGUAUUUUACACAGUGUUAUUGUUGUCAUACUGUUAUUUUUAGCGUAGUUCUAGUUACAUUUUUAAAGCCUCCAUCCCUGUUUCUUUGGCCUAUGAUGCUGUGUAAGCAUCUCUGGCAUCAUUAACUGCUAAAGAGCUGACAAUGGCUGAAGCUGCUUUUGCAUAAACAAGUGCAGCAAUUUUUCCUUUCUUUCAGACAGAUUCCUCGAGGCCAUAUGUUACGAUAUCAUUGAUCUGACCUCAAUAUUGUCAAAUUUCACAAAAUCAGGGCUGUUAAGCCUGCAACUUUAAGCAGAUGUAACACACAGCAGGAUGCUCCAUCAAAAUUACACAUUUGGACCCUUAUUGCUUCCUAAUGGAUGGAACAGUUUCCAAUUAUUAUUUUUUCCCCACGGUACCUUAGCACUGAGGCAUGAAUCCUCUGAAUGGGUAAAGGGAUGUUUUCAUGGCAUUUCCAGAUGAUACAAAAAGGCCCCACAGGAAUUUAUUUUCAGGGGUGAAAUAACAGUAGCCCUGAUCCAGUGUACAAUUCACCUGUGUGAACUGUUAUUUUAUUCUCUCUCUCUCUCUCUCUCUCACACACACACACACACACACCAUGCUGUUAACCUCACAAUGAACUAAGGUUUUAAACUCUGGUUAAACAUGUUGUCGGAAAGACCACAUGCUUCAUUAGGGUUUUAAAUAAUAAUAAUAUGCAAGGCUGUGCUAGGGCUGCAGAUCAGGUUGAGUUGGGUGCUGUAAACAGCAGUAGUGUGGACAAUGUGUCCAUGCACAUCCAGCUCUACAUGCAUAGACCCCUAUCUAAACAUGAUGUUUGCAUACUGGGGACACCAGAUAGAUGGCCAGCACCAUCUCAGUUGCAUAGAGAAGUACAUAGGAAUGGUCCCAAUGAAAAUACAUGUGCCAGGCUUGUUUGUCAUAGGAAUGGAACCAAAGCCCAUACCAUUCCAUUUCUGUGCAUCCCAUUUUAAAUGUGCAUUUAAAAAUACUAGAUGGUCUGGGUUGUGAGUGCUUAUGAGGUGGUCUCAGGCCUGCCUACCUUCUUUUCUUGUUUUUCUUUUUUAAAAAAUAAUUUCAGCAUCAUAACAGUGGCUAACUAGUGUGAACCUUUGCAUCACAUGUAAUGAAAUCAAUGCAGCAAGGCAUCCUGGGAGUGAGAAGUCUUGAUGAUGUAAAAUGACACAGACAAAAUCCAGAAGGAUGUGGAGAUCAAGCAGUAUGCUGAUUCUGGAGUGCAUCUGUGGACUGAUCCCUGAAGGUCAGAUCAUAUGUGUCUGCUUCAGAAUUAUUGCUCAAUUAAUGUGUCCUCUAUACUUACUUUUAAUGAGUCAGGCAUAGGAAAAGAUUUGCUCAUUUUCAAAACGAUACAAGCUUUGUGGUCUUCUACAUUUCUUCUAUAGCUUUGAUGUUAAUCUUAGCGGGAGUAAAAAAGUUGCAAUUACAAGCACAUUGGGAAUUCCUGAAAAAGAACUUUUCUGAACAUGUUCCACAUAUGGUUGUCAAUGCCACUUCCAAUCUCAACUGAUGCUGAAGACCACCUGUCUCUAUCGCCAUCCCUAUCUGUCCCCUUCAUUCAUAUGUUCAGUUAAUUUCCUUCUUCACAUCCAGAUCUUUUUAUGUCUGAUUCCAUCGUUUUUAUUUCUAUUGCUUUUUUAUAUUUAGUGUGGACUAAAAGGGUUCUUUUUUCAAUUUUACACAGUUCUAUUCUGAUUUUGUCUUACAAUAAUCAUAAUUGUACAACAGUAAUAAUAAUGUAAAUAUCAAUAUUUAUAAGCAUAUGACAAUUUUCUAUAGUUAAUAACAAUGCUUUGAUUCAGAGAAUAAUUAUAAUUAAAUUAUAGGGUGUCUAGUUCACAUUGAUUUCUGGAAACACAUUGAUUAGCUAUGCUUCAAUGCCCUCUCACUGCCCUUAAUGAAUAUAAUGCAACCUAUAAUUUAAUGACAAGGAAUUAUCUAACAUAAACAUGGAACUCAGAUUCUUUUCAAUCAAAACAGUUGUUUUUCUGUGCAUGUGUGACUUUCUCCACAUAAUCUAUAAUUUUUGCCACCUGCCCCAAAUCAGCAAAUAUUUCAUGCUGCCUAGAUGUGUUAAUUUUUAUUAAAUAAAAAAAGGCUUAUUCUUAGUUCUAUUUUUGUUUAAUAACUACCUUCUAGCACAAAAAGGGUUUUGUUUAGUACAGUUGUCACUGUGGUGACACUUUAAAAGAAAUAUUUCUAGUUCUUCCUGGUAAUUUAAAAAAUUGGAAUAACAUUUGCUAGGUUGUUUACCAUCCUGAAAUUGUGCUAGGGUGUAGAAUAACUGAGUGACACAUGGCCAAAAUAUCUGGGGAAUUACCAACACAAACUCUGGUCACAUCGCAUUAUGCCCAGGAUCCAAAGUGUUUCCAGGAAAAUUCAAGGUGUAAUUUUGCCGGUUUCCUGACAGAUUGUGCCACAUAAAAUGCCAUUCCAGAGGGUCACCAAAUGUUUAGCAUCAGCUUCUGGGUGGCAGAGUGGACUCUGGUACAAAGGCCCUAGCUAAAGCUCUUGUGCAUGUGUGGCCAUUUGGCAGCAGACUUUGAGAAAAAACUGAAUUCAUAUCCCAAUGGAACUCAAAGCACGGUUUUGCAGAACCAGUGCAGGUUAUAUUGGUCAUUCCGUGUUUAACCUACACCCCGGUCAAGGACAUAUCCACCAGUGAUACUUCUUACCAAGAAUGGUUCUAGGUUACUUGUUUUUUCACGUAAAGGGAUCUUAAGCAGCUUGGCUGGAAAUGAGCUGGGCUUGAUAACUAAUACCACUGUUGUCAAUCAGCAUACAUAGCACUAGACUGAACAUUGUUCCAUCUUGAUACAUUUAGCAGCUACUUUCGUGUUCUUUCCUUCUGUAUCUUCCUUCAUAAUUGCUCCUGUAAUAUUUUUCUUUUUCAUAAACUGAAUAUUAUCUACAUUAGAAAUGUGGACUUCUAUACUGUAUGACUGACAACAUAAUGCUAUGCUAUGCUAUGAUCACUGAUACUUAUAGAUAUGUUACAAAAGAAGGAAUUAUCAUGGUACUUACCAUAUUUUUUGCUCCAUAAGGCGCACCUGACCAUAAGGUGCAACUAGUUUUUAGAGGGGGAAAUCAAGAAAAAAAUAUUAUUCCCCCCCCCAGCCCCAAAGAGCAGCAGACAGGCUACGCACAGCCUGUCCACUUCUCCCAGAGCUUCUCAGGGCUGCCGGGGGAAGCCCGGGGGAAGCCCGGGUCUCCCCCUCAAGCCCCAAAGAGCAUAGAAGCCAAGACAGCCAGCGGGAUCCAUCCCUCUGGCUGUCUUGGCUUCUGCCAUAGCCGCCGGAGAGGCUGCGCGCGGCUAAAAAGGAAGCUAGGUAAUCAAUGUAUACAUAAUGUAUGUUUAAUUUGUAGGCUCUGAAUGACUAGACUUGAAGGGGAAGAGACCUGGCAAAAUACAUUAUAUAGGCCCAACCAACACUGUUAGGUGUGCUUAAGGCCACUGAAAUCAAUUGUCUUAAGUGUAUGUAACUUUGCUGAUAGUAAUCUGGGAUCUAAAAUUUCCAGUGCCUAACUCUGUGUUGGAUUUCACUGAUAGUAUUGUAGGCUCUAAAAUUUAGAGUUGUUUCCGUAAUAACAGUUUGUCCUCUCAAAGAGCCUGAUGUGAGCUUGGAUUCUCUCAAUGGAUUCUAUUCAGAACCGGUAAUUUGCAAUACAGGGCUAUUUCUAGCUAUUCUGAUUAGCAAUAACUCCUCUCUAGUUAAAAUGAUGCUCACCAUCCCUUUUAAGUUCCACGGCAGAUCCAUUUAGCUUGUGACAUUCUAACAUUAGUUUCUUUGCCAACAGCACUAUAACUCCUUUUCAUUGCCUAUUAGAGAAGAGAAUUACGCCAAGCCAUGGCCAAAGAUCACAUAAGAAACAAGAAAGUACUCUUUCUACAUGAUUAGCUCCGUGUGCCUUAGGAGAGUGAGACAAAUGAAGAGGAGAUCAUUUAGGGGAAACUUCUGUUAAUGCUUACCAUGUUCCCGAUUCAGCUGUAAUCAGUCUGACUGGCUGUGUAAGGAGGAGGAAUCUACCAUUCAGAUGACUGGUAGAAAAGCACAGGGCACAGUUAAAUUGCUACCAUGGCUAUGCUGUGGGAGGAUUCUGAUCUACCCAAUGGAGUUACGCCUUUACAGCAAAUGCAUACACAUGCAACUGUAUGGUCAGAUAACACAGGCUUGGUGUGUUACAGAAAUGGGAAAAAAUAGCCCCCGAAUAUGGGUCUACCACAGUUCUCACAGCAAUCUAAUUCAACUGAUUCACUAAUUAUAUGGCCGUAUCUUAGCUUAUUGCAUCAGUCUGAAACCAUUGGAAUGUUUACUUACAUUGCUAAUAGUUCUCUAAAAACCAGAGCACAGCAUGGCUGUUCAAAUCAAAUUUGUCUGUCUUCUGCUUGUUCUCAUAAAGAAAUUAAGAGAUUUUGAGUGAAAUGUUGCUAGUCCCCUUUCCAGAUUCCCAAUUUCCUUUUCUCUGAAGGAAAAUUUGGACAUAAUGACUUCACGAUACAGGAGUUCACAAUGUGAGAUUUUCCCCUUUUCAUGUAGCCAUGCAUUUAUUUAUGCAAAUUUGGGCUACAGCGUAGAGGCUUAAUUGCUCUGCAACCUCUCUAAAAUGUGAAUGAAUUGCUUAUUAUAUCAUUAGUCUUUCACACCUUUUAAAGAAGGUCUGGGUGGCAAACUUUAAUGGUGGCUUUCAAAAGCCACAGAGUUCCAGAAUGUAUACAGAGGUCAAUGCGGGUGUUUUGCGACAUGCACAAAGUCUAUUCAUUCACCAUCUCAAUCACUGUGGUCUGUACAUGGUUUAAUAGCUACAUUGUUUUGCCAUGCUCAUAAUUUCCCCCUACUUUGGUUAGCAAUGUUUGCGGUUGGAAAUUGAAUAGCUUAUAUUCUAUUUUGCUGUGCAAUUAUUUAUAAACACUUUUUUACAUCUCUUUUAGGGACUUGAUGCAGGAGAAGAGUCAUACCAAAAAUAUGUUCAGGGUUGGGGGAGUUUCUUCAGAAUGCAGGGCAGUGGACAAGAAUCA